AUAUAUGUAUGAGUAAACAGUCAGUCUUACCGUUAGUAGGCCUCAUUCACGAAGCUGGUCUAUAAGGGGUGUUUAAGGAAAUUGCCUAUAAAAUGGCGAUUGAAUGGGUAUCCACUCUUACCCACCGCACUCUUGACUAGUGGAGGGUCGUUAGCCGAACGGGUAGGAUAGGACAGAAACCUUCCAUUAUAAGUAUAAUGAAGUACAAAGUAACUAAAUGUUUUUUCAAAUUCCCAAAUCAUAGUUACUUUAGGCAAAAUGUGAAAUUGUAUGCUAACCCAUGGAAUUACACUUUGUACCCUUGUCAAACGUUAGUGGAGCGUGUGUGGUUAACCGGCACACUAAUUUGGGGAUGACAUUGGUAGCGAAGGGUGACUCGAUGUUUGUCAUAGAUCAAUGGAGCGUGUGUGGCUAACCGGCACAUUGAUUAGGUGAUAGUAGCAUUGAGUGCACCACGUGAUUCGUAUGGUUAUUCACACCUUGUUUGUGAUCCUCGGCAUCCCAGUCACAAAUAGUAAGGCAUAAUCGAGAUUAAACAUGCCAUUGAAAAGUUCAAUGAAUCUCAAAAGAUCUAGGAGUUUCAAUUCAUUUAAAACUUAAACUUCCUUUUCGUUUUUCAUGGUGGAAAUUGGUAAAUCGUCAUUUACCUACCUUCAAAUAUUCUGCAACUUGAUUACGACAUCCAUCUUCUAGGUUGUGGAGUAUUGUGUUGGAUCCUAGCCUUAAUAAUUCAUUUGGGUGUUUUAUUAAGGACUCAAUCAACUUAACUUGAAUUUUCUCCCGUUUUGUAGAUAUCAAACAACAAUGGUCUUCCCAAAUCCUUUAGAACAAGAUUUCCAAUUGAAGAUGACGUUCCGAGAUACGAUUAAGGAAAUGAGAGUCAUGUUUCACUUCCUCCACCUCCUCCAAUUAUUCUCCCUGACCCACAAGUUCGAAGGCUUGACAAGUUCAAGCUCACUCAAGCCCUUUUGGCAAGUAAACACGAAGAUGGGAAACCUGUGUGUGCACACAUCUUAGAGAUGAAGUCACACAUUGAUAGGUUAAGGAUGAUGGGUGUCGAUAUCUCAGAGAUGUUGGCUGUUAACUUGGUUCUUCAGUCGCUUCCUGAAUCAUAUAGUGAGUUCGUUAGAGAGUACUAUAUGAUGGAUCAUGAUGUGACCCUCAUUGAUCUCACCUAUUUGCUUAUAGUUCCUAAAUCAGUAAUGAUUUGGCAUGUUGGUCAAGCAAAUUUGUCUGGUGAAUCAAACUCCCAAACUUCAAUGGACACUGGCAACAUUGGAAGUCCAGAAAGGACUAAGUAUGAGAUUGUCCUAUGUGUUGUGCCAAAGGAUUCCAUUCGUUUUUAUUGCCAAGAGAAUGGGCAUUGGAGACGAAGCUGCCCAAACUACCUGAGAGGUCUAAGAGAUGGGAGAGUCAAGACGUAUGGCUCCACUUUAGGUAAAUUCCAAUAACUAACUCUACAAGUUCCUGUUCUUUGAUUUUCAAUACAUGAUGUGAUAAGAUUACAUUUUGAUAUUUUGUAGGAUCGGAGAAAAGAGAGGAAGCUUAAGGGAAGAAGUAAGCUGAAUCUGAUCGUGAAGAAAUGGAUUUCGAUCGCAUUGCUUGAAGAUCAGAUUUUUGAGCUACUACUUUAGAGUUAGAAUAGAUUGCUUAGAAAUUGAAAUAGCAUAGUUUUCAUUUGAAUUGCAUUGUAAGGACAAGUUUUUCCGCAAUAAAAUGAAUUUUAAUUUUGUCUUAUUUAUUUAUCCUUGCAAUGACAUAUGUGAAAAAUGGUUGUUUAUGUAUUUCUAAUUUUAGCAAUCUUGAAUUGGAUGUGAUUCUUGAUUAUGUUAUUUGUGAAAUGUCGAGAAUUUACCAAAUAGGGAGAGGUUCUCAUCGCCCAAGUUUCAAUUGGACAGAAAUUUGGAAUCAUGCAACAUGCAUUGCGUGAUGAAUGAGAAACUUCAUAUUUGGAAAUUAGACUAAAUCUUUGGCAAAGUGUCAAGUGAAGGACUAAGAGAUCGAGUACACUAGGUUGUAUGUUGAUCAAGUCCACCACAAGAGUGAUAAAGACAUUCGUCAUGAUUUACUAAAUUUUAGUAAAUAUGAUUAUAAUUAUAAGAUUAAGUGUAAUUCUGAGUUGGUUGAAAGAGUUUUAAUAGUAGAAUGAAUAAGGAAGAAUCAAGUAGGCAAAAAGAUAAAAGUUUCUCCAUUCUAAGAAGAAGGGAGAGUACCUUUUAUUGUGAUAAGUCUUAAUGAUUAAGAACCAUAUCUCAAUUGAUCCUCUAAGUGAGUCUUAGUGCAUUUGUAUGUCUAAGAAGAGGAAUCGGGAAUUGUGGAAAUGGUUAAAUCAAUAAGUCAAUCAUACUUCAUUCCAAUAUCGAAUCUUAGAGUCAUACUCCAAGAUUGUGAAUUGAGUGAAAAGUCUUUAGUAGGUUUAUAACACUUAACAAAUGUGGAAUUUGGAAAAGUUUUCUUAUUCUUGCACAUUUGAAAUUGGUAAGUUGUGCCGUCUUGGAUAAGAGAAAGACCAACUAGGACCAAUUAUGUAAAGUGUUUUGUGUUGAUAAGAACUACACUAACUCUUGAAUAUUUGUUUUGUCUUGGAAAGUUUCCUGACAANUAAUGAUCUUGAAAAAGUUUCAAGAACCAAGCAAGAUUAAACCUUAUCAAUCAUGACUAGCACACGACUUGAGGUUUACAACCUAUCGUGUUGACAUUAUUUUGUUUCUGUGCCAUUCCAAUUGAGUUAAUUAUGUGAGUUCUCAUUUGAAUGCAUAAAGACAAAGCGCCUUGGUCAAUGGAAAGUACAUUGAUAUGUAAGGAUAAGUUGCUAAACUACUUGGAAGACAUGGUGGGCACUCGUGUGAUCAUAAGGCAAGAAAUCAAAAUCAAGAAAGUUCAGUCCAUAUGAGUUUGGAUUUUUCGCAAACUUGGUUUUGGAAAAUUCACAUGGAUAGGAACUCAUACACCAUAAAAUCUAAGUGUCAUAAGAUUCCCUCCUUCAUGAAAAUGACUGUGAGGAAAUGCUUUCACUAAGAGAGAUUUUAAGAAGAUAGAAAUUGUGAAAAUUGUAUUCUCAAAUUCGAUUAUGGUUACGACAUCCCUUUCCAUAGUUCGAAUUGUGAGAUUUGGCAAUUAGUCUCACAUUUGGGACUUAUUGAUAUAAGUUCUGAAUUGUUUAAGACACACAUAUGAUCUAUCUAGGGCAAAGGUGUAUAAGUUUAAGAAGCUUAGAUAAAGGCUUAUCGAAGCAUCUGGUAUUAGAAAUAUGAAUUUCAAAAAUUCAAUAGGCAUUGUUUUCUGGAAGUUCAGCUAUUUUCUGAAUACGUGUCAAAGCUAGUGGGAGCAUAAGUGUUAUGCUUAUAUGAUAAUAAUCAGCAUGAUAGUGGGAGCAUAAGUGUUAUGCUUGUAUGAUUAUUAUGGAAAGUAUUGCAAGAUAGCAAUAUUAGUUAUAAAAAAACAAAGAUUCAAUUUGCCAAGUUGCAUGGGUUGAAAAGUUGUUUUGCUAUAAUUAAGGGAGAUAAUAUUAUACUUCGUUUCAAAAUAUAAAGCUUAGAUUGAGAAAUUUUAAUAAAUAUAGUCAAAUGAUACAUAGUGUGUUCUAAAAUUUCGAUUAUGAUUAUGGCAUCCCUCUUCAUAGUUCGAAUUGUGAGAACGUGACACAUAAAAUAUUAUGGCAGAAGAUUGAUAAAGUAUCAUAUCUUUAUGUAAGACAUUAUGCAUCGUGUCCCAUACGCUUCAGGAUAUAGGAUUGAUUACAAAUGCUAUAAUAUUUGACCAUUCUAAAAUUUUCCAAAUGUCUAGUGCAUUAAGAGGGAAAAAGGACUAGAAUCGGUUUUGACUAAAAAUAAUUAAACAACUAUCAAAGGACGAUCCAAAGUUCACUGAGGAUUGGUUGCUUGUGAGUAGUUGGAAGUAUGGUAUUGCAUGGACCAUAUCGACAUUAUUAUGAAUAGAUAAGAUUCUAUUAAGAAUGAGUUGUCAUAUGGCAAAUAUGGAAAUGCUUCCAUAUUGGGAGUUGAAUAUUGAGAGUCUAUAUCUAGAUUAGAAAAUUUUAUGCAAGAAGGAUGUUCAAAGGAAUGUACUUUGAAUGUGUGACUUCACGUCUAUGGAAUUGUCUUCUAACAAUUUCCGAUAGAGUACUUUGUAAUUUCAUUGGCCAAAUCUUGGUGACUUUUGUGCUAUGACUUUGUGAAAGGAUCGUUGCAUAAAAUGUUAGAAUCUAGCAUAUUCUAGUAGUGUCAAGAACCUUGUGUUCUAACACUAAUGAUAAGUAUUAGGAAUUGUGAAAUGAGCAUCACUGGAAAAGUUUUUCAAUUGAUCUACUUCACAAAGUAAGGACCAUAGGAAACAUAGUGUGCAUGCUUUGUGCAUGGGACAACUAUUGUUGUAAUUUGAGUAAUAAGUUGAUUUUCUGGAACAUUAAACGAUGAAUAAUAAGUAAUCAAUAUGGUGUUUAAAUAGAAGUGUUUUAUUUACUCUCACAAGUUUAGGGACAUAUAGGAUUAAGUAUUAUUGUUGUGUUUCAGUUUGCAUGUUUUGACUUCCAGAAUAAUUGGGUUAUUCGAACCUCCACAGUCGGUCAUACGUUGGAAGUAGGUAUGAAGCAAGACUGUCAUGAAAAGUCUGUAGAUUGUUUGAAGAGUUUAGACAUAGCACAAGUUUGCUGCAGAGUUCAUGAGUGCUUUGAUAAGAUUAGAGUAUUGGAUUAAACCCACGCUCACUUGGAUCACUUCAUGGAUUUAUCACAGAUGAUUAGUGAGACGAUAAUAUUGUAUAUUCUUGAGACCGAGACGUGUGAGUUGUUAUUUGCUGGUCGGUUGCACAUUGAUAAUAAGCAAACGCACCAGUAACUUGAUACUAUAAAACUUAUUGUUGUGUGUGAUUCGAUGAGUGAAUGCAAGCAAGCAUAUGAGUCGAAGUUUAUCCAUUCCUUUUAACCAAAGUUGGAUAAAAGCGAUAUAUGUGGGGCCCUCGAUGAUUUAGUGAUGACACCUAAGCGCUUGGCCAAGUCGGGACUAAGUUGGUGUGUUCAAUUGUAGUUUGUUGUCAUUCGUCAUAAAUCGGAAGUCGGGAAACAAUAUAGAGAGAAUGAUCGAAAUUCAUGCCUUGUGUCUAUACGAUAUCUUGAGAAUGGAGGAAUAUAUCAUCCCUUAUCUAAAGGACAUGCAUAUCUGAUAAGAUCAGAGUUGACAGCGGCUUUUGAAAGCUACGAUUGCUGAUCAGGUUCUGAAGUCAUACGGAAAAUAGUUAUUAGACUUAUCCAAGUGGGAGACUGUUGGAUUAGUGUCUAAGUCCAUAACUAUUUUGGUAUGUACUUGACCCGAUUAUGAGCAUGGUCCUUUUGGGUUGCCUUCACCAUAGCAAUAUGUAGGAUGAAUUAAGGAGAGAAAGGUUUAAUUAUGACUUGUUAAUAUAUUAUAAGAAUAAUAUAUUAAAUGAGAAACCGAAAUGUUUAAUUAAUAUUAGUCAAGAAUUAAUUUUGUGGCUAAAAGAGAUCAAUUAAACUUAAGGGACUUACUGUGCAAUUAUAAGAUAAUUACAUAGAUGAGCUUAUGGACUCCAUAGAAGGUGGAGUGGACGAAUUCUAUGGGGGGAAACCCAUUAGAAGUUGUCCAAGGCUUCUAAAGAAGGAGUCCAUGGCCUACUUAUGGCUUAAGUAGUCAAAUUAGGGUUUCCUUGUUAGAUAACCCUAAUUGCCUAAGUAUGUAAGGAGCACUUAGGCACCAAAAACGUGGCUAACACUUGGAUUAGGGUUUCCAGCCGUUUUUGGUGCCUCCCCUCUCUUCUCUUCUUCAUCUUGUUGCUUAGUGGUGUUUGUGACUCCAUUAGAGGUGCAACACUUGAGGCGCUAAGCUUUCUAAAGCCAAGGAUUAGAUUGUUAUUGCUAUAUAACAAUCAAAGAUUAGAUCCAGACCCUAUUUUAUGUUAAUAUGAUUAAUUGUAUGCUAGAUCUAGGGUUUAUAGCUUUGGAUAUUCAAUUGCAUGUUCAUUAGACAAACUAGAUCCAAAAGCUAUUAGGGUUUGCAUGUACACCAUAUGAAUGUUGUUUUGCUCAAAACCCAUCACUACUCUCAUCCUAGGCUUGCCCUAGGGUAAUCACCAUCCCACUCUCCGCCGUCAGCUGCAUAAGAAGUCCCUGUUGUCUCCCCCUAACUAGAUUGCGAAUACCAUUACAUAUCACUAAGACUAGAUAAUUCUUCGAAUGAGAGAUCCUACCCUAUAACGGUUGGACUCAAACAAGAGCUGCGAAAUAGAGCUAGACCUAACCUUCUGAAAAUAUUUAUUCCUCGCAAUAUGUAACUUAACAUAUUCUGUUACUAGUUAGUAAAAGACAACUAGAACUCCUAAAAGCACAAAGCAACCAACAUUCGAGCAUUGAGUAAACAUGAUCAAACAUAUACUAAUCAGGCCAUCAUAUUGACUAAUCUGUACUAGCAUGCAAUUCAUAAAGCUCAUACAUAUAUAACAGGCACAUAAGGCAUCCUUCUUAGAUCCUUAUUCCUAAUCUAGCAUACAGUUCUCAUAAACAUAUCAUAACACAACUUGUAUGGGUAAUUUAGGAGUACUUAUUUGAGCUCGGCUGAUUGCAUGCACCACACCCUUUUCUCUUUUAAAAAUUCUUUUCUCUUUUUCAAAAUUCUUUUUAUAAAAGUGAUUUUCCUUAGAAAAUUUUCAUACCAGUUCCUUAGUUUGAUUUCAGACACACCUGAGAGUGUAUCCGAAUCCCUCAAACCAAGGCUCUGAUACCAACUUGAAACAUCCCAAAAAUACGGUCCAAAAAUUUUGUUUUGAUUAUUUAUAAAAACCAUAAUUAUCAUUCGUCACCUCAUAAAAAGAACAUAAGUAAUGUAUCUCAAAGAAUCAUAAUAAAAUAUUGUAUCAAAAUCAUGUGUCAAAUAUCAGAGUCUAAACAUCCCAGGCUGAAUCAAUGGUGUGUGUACUACUGUUACGAUUCAAAUUUUUCAAACAAAUUUUUCCAUUUUAAAACAUAAUUGUUUCCAUUAAAAACAAGGCAUAACUAGUUAAUUAUUCAAUCAAUACAAUUAUUCAAAUCCCAAGAUCAUAAAAACCAUCUUCAGUGUGUAUCGAUCAUGCCGGCGCCUUCCCACGGUCCUCGCUAGUACCUGAAAUACAUGCACAACAACUGUAAGCAUAAAUGCUUAGUGAGUUCCCCAAUAUACACUUACACACAUACGCCUUUCCACGCCCUGACCUUCCGGUCCUCUUUACAACGCCUUCCGGCCCAUAACAUAAUCGCCUCCGGCCCACAUAUCAUACAUAGCAUACAUAACAAUUAACUUACCACAUAUAGCAUACAUAUCACAUAACAUAUUCGACCUUCCGGUCACACAGUCAAACCCUUCCGGGUACAGUAUAGUGAGAAGACUCACCUCGUAUAUGCUGAAAGCUAGCAACUCCUGAAAUGACUCGUGCACAACCGACGAGCUACAACCUCCCUAUAACAUUACAUGACUCAUUAAUACUUAUCUCUUCUAAGUGUGACUAUCCCUAAGAAGUCAGACUUAGGUCAACUCUGGUCAACGGUCAACGGUCAGCUCGACCGGACUCGGCGAGUCCCAUGGCGACUCGGCGAGUCUAGUCGUCCUCACAAAUUCCUGAAUAUUCCCUUUCUACUCGUCGAGUAUUCCUCUUGACUCGACGAGGUCCUCGUGGAAGAAUCGCGGGGCCACCCCGACUCCACUCGCCGAGUCUGAUGAACAACUCGGCGAGUCCCAGUAAAUCUUCAAGCUACUCGCCGAGUCUGAAGAACAACUCGGCGAGUCCAUGCCAUGCAGACGAGUAACUGCUUCCUGAAUUACGUAUGGUCCCAAGAUAUACAACCAUGGGACCCUCUGGACGUCUAAACAUCUCAUUACUGGGGUAAAAACGUUUGGGUAACAACAUCAUAACCCAUCUAAUCACUAAAUGGGUUUCAUAAACCCUAAACUUACAUACACAUCAAAAUAACAGAAUUGGUCCGAGUAUUACCUGAAAACGCACUCUCUGUGUCCCCCAAAUCUCAGGUCUCAAUCCUCCUUGAUAUUCUUUUAGCCAAAUCCCUCUUCUUCUUGCCUAACCAAUUCUUCCAAGUUCCAAAAGCUUUCUCUCCUGCUCCAGACGUCCACAGCGAUUAGGGUUCUUCUCAAUCGACCAAAAGACUGAAAAUGACGGCCUAAGAGGCUUUAAAUACGAUCCAAACUGAACGGUUAGGGUUUCUGCUGAACAGCGUCGACUCGCCGAGUCCAUAUCUGGACUCGUCGAGUCCAGUCGCGGACCCGCGACCAAGUCUGCGAUCCUACUCGGCGAGUCUAGGCUCCGACUCGCCGAGUCCCCUCUUAAAUCACCCCAAAAACAUAAUUUUAAUAAUACCUGAGAUUCCGGGCUGUUACAACUCUCCCCCACUUGGAUUAGACUUCGCCCUCGAAGUCUCACUCUGCAAAUAGUUCCGGAUGCUGCUCCCGCAUUUCGCGCUCCGGUUCCCAAGUCAUUUCUGAUCCCUUACGGUGUUGCCAUUGAACCAACACCAGAGGUACUUCCUUGUUCCUCAGAACCUUGAUCUUCCGAUCCCUGAUAGCCACUGGUCUCUCCGCGUAAUUCAGGCUCGCAUCCACCUGAAUAUCCUCCAAUGGAACCACUGCCGACUCAUCGGCUAUGCACUUCCUCAACUGCGACACAUGAAAAGUGUCAUGGAUCUGACCCAACUCCGCUGGCAACUCCAACCGAUAGGCUACCCGACCUAUCCUUGCAAUCACACGAAAUGGCCCAAUAUACCGGGGCCCCAACUUGCCUCUCUUCCUGAACCGAAUCACUCCUUUCCAAGGAGAGACCUUCAGGAGAACGAAGUCGCCGACUUGAAAUUCAAGCUCGGAUCGGCGCCUGUCUGCAUAACUCUUCUGUCGGCUCUGGGCAGUCAAUAAUCUUUGUCUCACUUGUUGAAUCUGCUCUGUCGUCUGGAGUAUGAUCUCCGUGCUGCCCAUCACUCUCUGUCCCACCUCUCCCCAGCAAAUGGGAGUCCGACACCUCCUACCAUACAACAGCUCGAAAGGCGGCAUACCAAUGCUCGAAUGAUGGCUGUUGUUGUAGGAAAACUCUGCCAAUGGUAAAUACGCAUCCCAACUACCCCCGAAGUCUAACACACACGCUCGGAGCAUGUCCUCCAGUGUCUGAAUUGUCCGCUCGCUCUGACCGUCUGUCUGGGGAUGGUAUGCGGUACUAAAAUGCAAUUUAGUACCCAGCUCCUCAUGGAAUUUCUUCCAGAAUCUGGAAGUAAAGCGCACAUCACGGUCUGACACAAUCGAGAUCGGCACCCCGUGCCGAGACACCACCUCUCUCACGUAUAUCUCCGCCAAUUUCUCCGCCGAAGAACUCUCACUGAUGGCAAGGAAGUGUGCACUCUUUGUCAACCUAUCCACGAUCACCCAAAUUGCGUCAACUCCCCUAGCAGUCCUCGGCAAUUUGGUGAUAAAAUCCAUAGUAAUCUGUUCCCACUUCCACUCGGGGAUCUCCAAUGGCUGUAACUUGCCAUGCGGUCUCUGGUGCUCAGCCUUAACCCUACGGCAGGUCAAGCACCUCUCAACGAACCAUGCCACGUCCCUCUUCAUACAGGGCCACCAAUAUUCCUUCCUUAAAUCCAAAUACAUCUUUGUAGCACCGGGAUGGAUCGAGAAUUUCGAUUUAUGAGCCUCUUCCAUCAACGUAAUACGCGUACCGCCCACGAACGGCACCCAAAUCCGACCCUGAAACGUCAUAAGGCCUCGACUAUCCUUGACAAACUCUGAGAUUAACCCCACAACCCGCUCUUUCUUCUGCAUUUCUGGUCGCACAGCCUCCGCCUGGGCCCCACGAAUAGCGUCCAAUACUGGAGUCAUCACAGUCAGUCUCAAGCAUACGUCUCGCAAUGGAGUGCUCUCCGCCCUGCGGCUCAAUGCAUCGGCUACCACAUUAGCCUUGCCUGGGUGGUACAGGAUCUCACAAUCAUAAUCCUUGACCACAUCCAACCACCUCCUCUGACGCAUAUUUAGGUUGGGUUGAUCCAUCAAAUACUUCAAACUCUUAUGGUCCGUGUAUAUCGUACAUCGAACCCCAUACAAGUAGUGACGCCAAAUCUUGAGAGCGAACACUACUGCCCCCAACUCUAAAUCAUGCGUGGGAUAUCUCGCCUCAUGAGGCUUCAGCUGCCUCGACGCAUAAGCUAUCACAUGACCCCUCUGCAUUAACACUGCACCCAAUCCCGAAAUCGAUGCGUCGCAAUAUACCACGAAAUCUUCCAUCCCUUCUGGAAGAGCUAAUACCGGGGCUUCGCACAAUCUCUGGCGAAGUGUCUCAAAGGAGGUCUGCUGCUCGGGCCCCCAUGAGAAUGUAACACCCUUCCGGGUCAAUCUGGUGAGUGGCACUGCGAUCUUGGAGAAAUCCUUGAUAAAUCUCCGAUAAUACCCUGCCAACCCAAGGAAACUUCUGAUCUCAGAGGGUGACUUCGGCACCUCCCAACUCAUCACCGCCUCAACCUUGGCCGGAUCGACCAAUAUCCCUUUCUGAUUAACCACAUGUCCUAGAAACUGGACCUCCCGCAACCAGAAGUCACAUUUGGAGAACUUUGCAUAAAGCUUCUCCGACCUCAAUACCUCAAGGACCUCCCUCAAAUGCUCCUCAUGCUGCUCUCUAGAUCUCGAAUACACCAGAAUGUCGUCGAUAAAUACAAUCACUGACCGAUCCAACAUCGGCCUGCAUACCCUGUUCAUGAGAUCCAUGAACACAGCCGGGGCAUUGGUGAGUCCAAAAGGCAUCACCACAAACUCAUAAUGCCCAUAUCGCGUCCUAAACGCUGUCUUCUGGACGUCCUCAUCCCGUACUCUCACCUGAUGGUAUCCUGACCUCAGAUCGAUCUUGGAAAACCAAGAUGCUCCCUGCAACUGAUCGAAUAAAUCAUCGAUCCUCGGCAACGGGUAACGGUUCUUGACCGUUAGCUUGUUCAACUCCCGGUAAUCAAUGCACAUCCGGUGUGAACCAUCCUUCUUCUUGACGAACAGAAUAGGUGCUCCCCAUGGCGAGCUGCUCGGCCGAAUGAAUCCCUUUCCCAGCAACUCCUGGAGUUGCGAGGACAACUCUUGCAUCUCUGGAGGUGCAAGACGAUAGGGCACUUUAGCAAUAGGCGCUGCCCCCGGAACCAGAUCGAUACUAAACUCUACUUGCCUCACAGGCGGUACUCCCGGCAACUCCUCGGGAAAGACAUCUGAAAACUCGCGCACCACCGGAACUUCCUCAACUGACUUCGGUUUCUCAGAAACCUCCCGCGUAUCCAUCACAUACGCCACGAAACCCUUACAGCCCUGCCGUAGACACUGCCUCGCCCUAGCGGCCGAACAAAAAGCUGAUCCCGAACGGGUACCCUCGCCGUAUACCGAAAGAACUCCCCCUCUUGGGUCUCGUAUAGUCACCAACUGACGCUCACAGUCGAUGACAGCGCCGAACCGGCUCAACCAGUCCAUGCCCACGAUGACACAGACAUCCCCCAUCGCGAUAGGAAUCAGAUCAAUCGGGAAUCCAACCCCGAAAAUCUCUAGUACACAUCCCCGAAGAACCUCCGUAGCACAAAUCACCUUCUCGUCAGCUAUAGAGACUCUCAAAGGUCGACUCAACGACUCACGACUAACGCCAAUAUGCUGACUAAAGGCCAAGGACACAAAGGACCUACUCGCACCCGAGUCAAAUAACACUAAGGCAGGCACAGAGUUCACAAGGAAAGUACCUACGCGCAUAAUAACAUAAGCAUAACAUAUCGACAUUAAAAUAAUUACAUGAAUUACAACAUACCUGCCACAACAUCGGGCGCAGCGCGGACCUCUUCCGCUGUCAGCUGAAAGGCUCUUCCCCGAGCCCUCGGGGCCUCGGCCUUCACCGGUCGAGUCGCAGGAACUCCGGCAGCAGGUGCAGAUCCCUGAAGAAGCUGAGGGCACUCGGCCUUCCUAUGGCCAGUCUGGUUGCAAUGAAAGCAAACCGAAAAUCCCUUGGGGCACUCCCUAGCAAUGUGCCCCUCCUUGCCACACUUGUAGCAAGCACCAGAUCGACAUACUCCAUCAUGACUCUUGCCGCACUUCCCGCAAGUGCGACCCUUCGAACCUCCUGUCCUCGAAUCAGCGGACUUGGUCCGCUUGGCUGCCGGCUGGAACUGAGCCGGUCGCCGAUCCACCCGCUGAGACUCGGCCUCCUCCCUAGCCUGGGUCUCCAACUCGAUCUCGCGCUUCCUGGCAUUCGCCUGAAGCUCAGCAAAAGUAUGGUAAGUGGAGUUUGACACAAACUCCCGAAUAUCCCUCCUCAAGACACCCAAGUAUCGGCUCAUCCGAGCCUGCUCUGAGGACACCAGCUCAGGGCAAAACAUCGCCCUCUCAUGAAACUUCCGUGUAAUCACCGCAACAGAAUCGGUACCCUGCUUGAGGGUUAAGAACUCCUGCACCAAUCGUUCCCUCUCCACCGGGGGAACGUACUCAUCCCUGAACAUGGCAGUAAACCCCUCCCAUGUCACCGCUGUAGUCUCUGCCAAAGUGAAAUUCGCUGUCACGAACUUCCACCAGUCCUUCGCUCCCAGACGGAGCUGGUUCAAAGCGAACCGUACCCUCAGGUGCUCCGGGCAUGAACAAGUAUAGAAGCACCCCUCUAUAUCUGCGAUCCACCUCAUCGCAGCAAUCGGAUCCUGCGUCCCAUCGAACUCUGGUGGCUUCGUGUUGCUGAACUCUCGGAACAGCAAUGAAUCACCCCCCUGUGGCCUAGCAGCGGCCACAGCUGCGGUAGCUGCAGCGGUUGCAGCCUCAGUCAAUGCGGCGUACCGCUCGUCGAACGUCUCCAUCAGGGUGGUCUUGAUAGACCCAAACAUCUCCGGGAUCUCAGCCCGGAUCGCCGCCGCCACCUCCUCGUGGAUCAUCUGACGAAUAUCCUCGUCACUCACACCGCUCGUACUUGCCCCGUGCCGCGGUCUAACCAUGAUAUCUCUGAAAUACAACAUAAAACUAUCAGAGAUUCUACCGAGUAUAAUCGUACUCGACACGCAACCCUACUCAGUCCCAGAUAUCCAGGGAUUCUUACUUGGGCCUCCCACUGACCCGGUGUCCUCGGUAGUACGGGCCCAAUACUACCGACCACACCGCAUCAAUGUUCAUCCCAAGUCCUCCUCCCCAAACUCCAGAUAGUGAGUACUCUACUUCUGAUACGCUCUAUCUACCCGCAUACUAGCAAAGCAUCUCAUAUAAGCAACUUCCCUAGACUAAGGCAUCACAAAUCAGGCCACUCUAGUCCUAUCAUGAAUACCUAGUCUUCUAGCAUGCAUAACAAUUCAUAUCAUAUAAUAUUGUAAGGUAUUUUGGGGAUCUUUACCGUUCGGGCGCUGACUGAUCGUACACACUGCUUCUUUCUUGCUUACCACAAAACCAUUUACAAAAGUUUAUGCCUUUAUUUGAAAAGUUUCCUCAAAUCCUCGGUUUGAGUUCAGUUACCCCCGAAGGUGCACCCGAAUCCCUCAAACCAAGGCUCUGAUACCAAUUGUAACAACUCAAAUUUUUCAAACAAAUUUUUCAUUUUUAAAACAUAAUUAUUUCCAUUAAAAACAAGGCAUAAACAGUUUAAUUAUUCGGUCAAUACAAUUAUUCAAACUCCCAAGAUCAUAAAACAAUCUUCAGUGUGUAUCGAUCAUGCCGGCGCCUUCCCACGGUCCUCGCUAGUACCUGAAAUACAUGCACAACAACUGUAAGCAUAAAUGCUUAGUGAGUUCCCCAAUAUACACUUACGCACAUACGCCUUUCCAGGCCCUGACCUUCCGGUCCUCAUUACAACGCCUUCCGGCCCAUAACAUAAUCGCCUUCCGGCCCAUAACAUAUUGCCUUCCGGCCCACAUAUCAUACAUAGCACAUAUAACACUUAACUUACCACAUAUAGCAUACAUAUCACAUAACAUAUCCGACCUUCCGGUCACACAGUCAAACCCUUCCGGGUACAGUAUAGUGAGAAGACUCACCUCGUAUAUGCUGAAAGCUAGCAACUCCUGAAAUGACUCGUGCACAACCGACGAGCUACAACCUCCCUAUAACAUUACAUAACUCAUUAAUACUUAUCUCUUCUAAGUGUGACUAUCCCUAAGAAGUCAGACUUAGGUCAACUCUGGUCAACGGUCAACGGUCAACUCGACCGGACUCGGCGAGUACCAUGGCGACUCGGCGAGUCUAGUCGUCUUCCAACUUUCUGAGAUUCCUUAUCUACUCGUCGAGUACCCUCCUCGACCCGACGAGUUACUCCUGGAAGAAUCGCGGGGCCACCCCGACUCCACUCGCCGAGUCUGAAGAACAACUCGGCGAGUCCCAGUAAAUCUUCAAGCUACUCGCCGAGUCUGAAGAACAACUCGGCGAGUCCAUGCCAUGCAGACGAGUAACUGCUUCCUGAAUUACGUAUGGUCCAACAAUAUACAACCAUGGGACCCUCUGGACGUCUAAGCAUCUCAUUACUGGGGUAAAAACGUUUGGGUAACAACAUCAUAACCCAUCAAAUCACUAAAUGGGUUUCAUAAACCCUAAACUUACAUACACAUCAAAAUAACAGAAUUGGUCCGAGUAUUACCUGAAAACGCACUCUCUGUGUCCCCCAAAUCUCAGGUCUCAAUUCUCCUUGAUAUUCUUUUAGCCAAAUCCCUCUUCUUCUUGCCUAACCAAUUCUUCCAAGUUCCAAAAGCUUUCUCUCCUGCUCCAGACGUCCACAGCGAUUAGGGUUCUUCUCAAUCGACCAAAAGACUGAAAAUGACGGCCUAAGAGGCUUUAAAUACGAUCCAAACUGAACGGUUAGGGGUUCUGCUGAACAGCGUCGACUCGCCGAGUCCAUAUCUGGACUCGUCGAGUCCAGUCGCGGACCCGCGACCAAGUCUGCGAUCCUACUCGGCGAGUCUAGGCUCCAACUCGCCGAGUCCCCUCUUAAAUCACCCCAAAAACAUAGUUUUAAUAAUACCUGAGAUUCCGGGCUGUUACAACUACAAUCAUCCCGAGCUCUUCCCCUUGCUACUGAAAGUACCUGAAUCCAAAACUGAAAAUUGUAAGCACGAAGCUUAGCGAGUCUCCCCAAAUGACCACAUAUCAUACACGCAUAACAUGCAACUAGGAGAUACGGGCCUCGCCCACACUCAUGGAGGUACGGGCCCCGCCCACACUCCGCUGGCUAUGAGAUACGGGCUCCGCCCAUACUAAGCUACUAUGAGAUACGGGCCCCGCCCACACUCAUUUACUAUGAGAUACAUGCCCCGCCGAUGCUCAAUUACUGAUCAUACAUACAAGCAUCAUACAGACAACAAGUAUAACUAAAUCUAUCAAUCAGUCAAAUAUCCAUACUCAACUAUACUAUGAGAUAUGAGCCCCGCCCACACUCAGCUACUAAUCAUAAAUAUACGGGCUGCCUUGGUGCCUUAGACCCGUUCUACUGGAGGAAAACUCACCUCGUAAAGUUGACUGCAUAUUCUUGAGUGAGGAAUCUCUAACGGCUGCUCCCAUGACUCCCCGACUAUUAUUAUCACAAUAACACUUAGUCAAAACCUGAUAAUUCUCCUUAGGAUAAAAUGACCAUUUUACCCAUGAUCAAAGUCAACGCUUUGGUCAAAGUCAACCUCCUGGUUGACCCAACUCGUCGAGUUGCUCCAUCAACUUGUCGAGUCCUAAAGCCUGAAAUCGCGAUCUAACUCGUCGAGUUCCCAGGCUACUCACAGUCGCGUUCUACCGAAUCAACUCGUCGAGUCCUUUCACGACUCGUUGAGUUCUACCUUUAGCUAAAACGAGACAAUCCAACUCAACUCAUCGAGUCCCUCUAUGGACUCGCCGAGUUCCUCUAUCUGAUUGAGCCAUCUCAAUGGAUUAAGCUCCUACCCUUCAGAUCCAAACUCCAUACUUCAUCUACACAUUGGUAUUACACUUUUAAGGGUAAAGUUUCCAACUUUACCCGUUGUUAGCCCUUCCUAAUGGGUUUAGCUCAAACCCUAACUCUCUAGAACAUAGAUCUUGGUCCACAAGCCAUAAUACUCUAAAUCAAAGCACAUUAUAAUAGAUCUAGGCCUUGGACAUCAAUUGGACACAUAAAGUUCCUAGCUUUCCUUCCAUGCAUGGCCUUUUAGGGCUAAAAAGGCCAUAAUAAUGUUUCUAAGCUUGCAUGUGGCUUCCAUGGCCAUAAAGUUUGCACCUUAAUGCCAUGGAACCCCUUCUAGAUCUGAGAUUUGGAAUGUAAGUUACUUGGGACGUCCAAAUCCCAAAGACCAAGGUUCUUGAACCAAAAUCCUCAUAAAAUGGAAGUAAAUAGAUCUAAUGAAUGAAUGGUCAAGUUAGAUACUUGAUUACCAGAAAGUGAUGAGGAUGGAAGGAAAUCCAUGGAUCUACAAUCUUCUCCUUGAACCUUCUAGCUCCUUCUUCUUCUUCUAGCUUCAAGAACACACAAAGUCACUCAAGAAUGGCUCACACACUCACAAAAUGCUCUAGGGUUUCAUGGAUUAGGGUUUAGGACUUGGAGGCUGGACAUGAGGCCAAAAGGUGGGGAUUAAGAUGCUUAAAUAAGGUGCAAAACCCCGAAAUUAGGUUUUCACUUUGGCAGACCUACUCAUCGAGUCGAGGGCUCUCGACUCGUCUAGUAGAUAGUUGAAGACCCGCAUCCAAGACUAGAUUCUACUCGACGAGUCUGGGGCUUCCAAGUCAUCGAGUAGCUCUUUAUAAAUGAAUAAUUUUAUAAAUAAAUGCGUACCAGAAAACGGGCGUUAGAAAAAUGCUUUGAGGGUGUGAGAUGAAGGGAAGUAAAUUAACUUUAUCGGUUUUUGGGCCUGUUUGGCAAAAAAUAACUAGUAACAGGUAGCUUGUAGCUGAUAGCGUUUUGUUAAAGGCUACAUGGAGUAGCAUUUGGAUUUGAAGCGUUUUGUUUAAACUAAACGCUAAAAGCUUAUAGUGUUAAACGACACUUUUUGUUCAAAAGGGAGCGUUUUGUCAAAUGCUAGAAUCUAGAUCUAUACCGAACACGCCCUUUAUUAAUGGUAUGUAUGUGAAAAUAAUCGAUAAAUGAAUGUUAUGUCUCUAAAUGUGUGCGUGUAAGGUAACAAUUUGAAGAGGUGUUUUAUUUUGUAACUUUGUUAAAAGCAGUGGAACAGUUUCUUUUUUUUUUUUUUUUUUUUUUUUUUUUUUUUUCAUUUUUUGUUUUUUUUUUUAAUUUUGUAAAAAGGGGGGAAUUUUUUUUUUUUUUUUUUUUUUUUUUUUUUUUUUUUUGCAAUUCAUGAGUCUUGUAUUACACGUUUGGAUCUGGUUAAAAUAAAAGGUAUAUAUGGGUUUACUACCAAUUUGAUUAUGCAUGUAGUAGUGCUAGAGGGAAGUCAUACCACAUUAUUUUUGUUUUGGAUUCAUCACUCUUUGUCCAAUCUAAUAUUAUAUGUAGUGAACAAUAUUUAAUUGUGGAAGUGAAAUGCAUUUUUCCUAAAUGCAAAUGUUUUAUCAUUAGUGUGUGCGCUCCUCGAGAUGAAAAUAAUAAGAUGUUGCGGAUGCAAUAAAGGCUUAAUUGUAGAAGGGAAAUGCAUUUUUUCUAAAUUCAAAUGUUUUAUUAUCAAUUUGUAUGUUCUUCAAGAUGAGAAAAAUAAGAAGAUGUUGUGGAGGGAUAUACUUUCUUUCUGCAAUGAAGGCAAGGAAGUUACAAUUUGCUUGGAGGCUUCAACUCAGUCAUGAUACUUUAGAGAGAUUUGAUACAACAUUUUAUCCAAGUUGUUUAUGUUUAGGCUUUAGCUGGAUGGUUUUCAUGAAGUGGUGGUACAGUAAGAUCAGGAUGCUGAGUUGGACUUGGGCAGACAACCAUUAAACUAGAAACGUGAAUGCCUAAUCUUUGAUUUAGACUAAAAAUAAUAUAAAAAUUAUUAAACCCGCAAUUGUUGAAAAUUUCAUAUUGUAAUUGCUUUGUUCUCAUUAAAAACUUACAAUAUUGAUCAAUGUUUUUACUAACAGUUUUAUUCCCUAUAUACACCUAGUGCAAUGUAGUUUGUGUAACUAUAUAACGCACACAAAUUAUCUAUAAAACAAUUCUUAAAAUGUUUUUAAUAGAUGUGGCAAAACCUAACAACACACUGACCUGACACAAAAUAAAUAAGUUUGAUUAAUAUAUUUGAACCGAUUUAAUUAAUCAGUUUAUAUGACAUGACAAAAUAAUUUUAAAAAAAUAAGGGUGUGGCUUGAGAAUUUCAAUUUGAAAAUUAUAUAUUUAUUUAUAUGUAAGUUUUUUAAAUUCUUAAAAUAAAUUAGAAACAUUCAAACCAAAACCAUACAUAAAAAUAAAGACUUCAUUUUCACUUUUUUUUUGUUAUCUUCCAAACUACUAUGUCCCCAUGACUAGGUCUGACAAUCGUGUCGUGUUCGGGGUGACGUGUUGCGGGUUGGCGGAUUGACGAGUCAAAAUAUGUCAACCCAAACACGAUCCAUUUAAAUAUACAGGUCACAGGUUGACAUGUUUGGAACAUAAACCCAUAUAUGACCCGCCAACCCAUUUAUUUAUAUGGGUUUACAGGUUGGCGGGUUUGUGUGUCUGAAUUUUAGACAUUUAAGUCAUAAACAUCCAAAUGAAAAUUAAAAGCAUUCAUAGAAACAUGUUACAGACUUAGCCUUAUAGGUCACGACUUCCGACCUUAGACCAUCCAUCACGAGUCAAAAUAUCAAAACAGUCAAAUUGUCUAUGAAUCAAUGGUAUAUAUUAUAUAAUACUUAUUAAAUAUUAAUACUUGAUAAUACAUUUAAAAAUAAAAUAAUUUUUUUAUUAAGAAUAUAAACGGGUUGCCGGGUCAACCCGUUUAUUUUUUGAGAAACCCAUAUAUGACCCGUUUAAUAAACGGGUUGGCGGGUUAGCGGGUUGAAAAACCCAACCCAAACUCAUUUAUUUCGUGUCGUGUCGCGGGUCGUGUCGAGAAUUGCCAGCCCUACCCAUGACCACUCCGUCCUUCAUAUGAGAUAUCCCGCCCUCCGCCUCCGAGCUCAUAUUUUUUACAUUUUUCCCUCUAAAUUGACAUUCAAUUUUGUCGCUCCGCCUUCCUAAGUCAUACUCUUUCAACUUGUUUAGUGUUUCAAACAUGGCAUGACACAUUCAAGGUAUUCACCUAAUCCGAAACUCAAAUACGAACUCAACACAAAAAUAAAUUGGUGGACACGAUCACACAACACAUUAAUUAAACAGAUCGGAUUAAGAUCAAAUUGUCUCAACCCAUUUACUAUUUUGACAGGACAUGACACAUUUGAGAGACCUCGUUUUUAAAUGAGAACCAAUAUUAAAAGACUCAAAAAACAAUCUUUUUUACCAAAAGUUAAUUAAGUCCAUUUUGCUUACUUUGAUUAAUAUUCAUUCAAGCAAUCAUCCAACCACACAUCCACAAGAUACCCUUCUUUUCUGGUUCGUGAAACAGCUUUAGGGCACCAUGCCUUUGUCUCUGUGUCUCUGUGUGUUCUCUUUUCUUCUCCUCUUUCACUUUCACUGCCACUCUUUAAAACGUGCAUCAAAAGCUCACUUUUACACUUGCAUGCGGGNNNNNNUAUAUAUAUAUAUAUAUAUAUAUAUAUAGAGAGAGAGAGAGAGAGAGAGAGAUAGAGAUAGAUGACCAUAUAAAUACUUAUGACAUGACACACUCAUAUAUAUAAGUAUAAGGGCACAUACCAUAAGCAGUUAACUUGUAGACAAGUAGCGGUAGCACACCCUUCAGUCCAAAUGUGUUUAUUAGAAGAUGAUAAGAAGUCAGUUGAGGGUAUGUUUGUUUACGCUUGUGGGACAACAGCAGGUGAAUGCUAUGAUCGGUGUUAUGAUUCCGGCAAUGAACCUUGAGAAGCGUAUAUAUGUGAUGAUAGUAUGAAGUCGGGUAUGUUUUAUCAUGCAUCCGAGAAGGGGAAUCAAGCGCUACUGGUCCGAUUACUGUCUACUUAUUUAUUUUGUUGUUGUUAUUAUUAUUAUUAUUAUUAUUAUUAUUAUUAUUAUUAUUAUUAUUAUUAUUAUAUAUCUAGUUUUAGAGGUUCUAUAUAUAAUUAAUUCUUUUGAUCGGUUUAAAGUUUGCUUGGCAAUUUUAAUGUAUGGCUCAUUAAAAGGUAGUGUGAGGUUUAAGCAUGUUCGAGAUUGUAAUUUGUAUCAUGUAAUCUGUUUUUUUGGUUAAUUGAUGUAAUAAUCUUGUUUAAUCCAAAUAAAAAUAUUUGUUCAUACUUAUUUUUGUUUCUUCUAUUUCCACUUCUACCCCUUUUCUCGAUUAUGAUGCUUUUUUUAGAAGAUGGCGUGACAGAUUUACAAGAUCCAAAUAAUUGAAAUGCGAUUUUGGCGACUUUUGAACAACUCGACUGGUUUGAAUUUCAAGUUUAAGCAACUAAAAUUUACCAAUUUGAGCGGUUUCAAAUGAAAAUAUAAUCGGUUAAUUUAAUUGUUCUAAGUUGCCAUGUUAUGGUUUUGGCUUUUAACCUUAGUGUGUCAAUGACAUACAAAACUAACUUGUUGGAAAAAUUAUAGUUGAUAUGUGAAUAUAUGAAUAAAUUAUUACGGAUGUGUUCAGUAUAACUAGAUGGUAACCGGUAGUAUUUUGUUAAACGCUACGAUGAGGUAGCUUUUGUAUUCAAAGUGUUUUGUUUAAACUAAACAAUACAAGUUUAUAGUGACAAAUAAGACUUUCUGUUCAAAACAGAACAUUUUGUCAAACGCUAGAAACUAUAAACUCCCAAACACUCCUAAACGAUUCAUGCCGAACACGACCUAUAUUUUGUUUGGGUUAAAAAUUAUAUAUAUAUAUGAUAGUGANNNNNNNNNNNNNNNNNNNNNNNNNNNNNNNNNNNNNNNNNNNNNNNNNNNNNNNNNNNNNNNNNNNNNNNNNNNNNNNNNNNNNNUAUAUAUAUACACCGACACGUACAUAAAAAUAAGUAAGAUUUCUUUUUUAAAAGUUAACACACGGAAGUUCAAGUAAUCAAAAAUAUAUUUUACAUGACCCGACUCAAUGUAGGAAGUGUAUAUAAAAAUAAAAAUGAAAAAGUAAAAAAAAAAUUAUGUUGAAACGUCGACAAACUCGAAUUUAUAUCGACAUGUACAUACCAAAAGCAAAAUUUUUUUUUUUUUUAAAUUAACAAUUAGAAGUUCUAAAUUUAUGUUGAAAUAUUGACCACCUCGAAUUUAUACUCUAACACAUACAUAAAAAUAAACACGUAAAAAUUAGUUUUUUUUCUUCAAAUUAACAAACGGAAUUUAUUAACGAAAUUCAGAUUAUGUAUACUACAGAAAAUAAACAUGAACGUUUAUAAAAUGGAGGGGAUGAAAGUGAUAUUUUAUAAAGUUUGAAGUGGAGGUGGUCAAAUUAACUUUUUAAAUAUCAUUCUACAAACUAUUUUAAAAUGUAAAGUCGUAGAAAAUAUAACUUAAGAAAGUGGAAGAUGCCAACGAUCCAUAAAAACGUAAAUAACUGUAAUUUAUAACGACACAUAUAAAAAAAUAAGUAAGUAAAAAUUCUUUUUUCGAAAUUAACGAAUGAAAGUUCAAAUAAUCAAAAACAUAUUAUAUGUGACAUAAUUCAUACAUAAGAAGCGUACAUAAAAAUAAACACAAAAACGUAAAAAAAAUACAUUGAAACGUAGACAAACUCGAAUUUAUAAAACUCGAAUGUAUAAAAAAACAAGUUAAAAAAAAAUUAACGAACGAAAGUUCUAAAUUUACGUUAAAACGUUGACUACCUCGAAUCUAUACCGACACUUACAUAAAAUAAACAUGUAAAAAGUANAAAAAAAGUUUUUUUUUUUUUUUUUUUUUUUUUUUUUUUUAAAUUAAUGAACGAAAGUUAUUAAGAAAAAUCAUGUUAUGUAUACUAAAUUAAAUAAACAUGAAAGUUUACAAAAUGGAGUUGCAAAAAUGAUAUUUUAUAUAAUUCAAAGUAGAUGGAGAAAGUAAAAAAUGACAUUUUAAAAAGGAAUGAAAGAAAACACGAUUUUAUAAAAUAAAAGGGUAUAAAUGUAUUUUUAGAAAGUAAAGGUGCCAAUUGUCACUAGAAACAUCCACCGACAUUGUUUUUUAAUAUAGAUAUUAGAAAAAAACAUCAACAACCUCGUCUACAUGUUUGGACGAAAGAUCAUCCACCAGGACAAAUCAUUAGUAACCCAUCCGCAAGCGUACAAACUCGAUCUUCUAAUGAUCUAAUAGACCACUGCCACUAUGUGGUCUUCAUAUCCGCAGUCGAGCCUCGAUCCAUCAAGGAAGCUCUUCUGGAGCCUGAAUGGAUCAUCGCCAUGCAAGAAGAACUAGCCGAGUUUGAAAGAAACAAAGUGUGAUAACUAGUACCGAAGCCAAAAGGUCACACUGUUGUUGGAACAAGAUGGGUGUACAAAAACAAACUGGAUGAAUCCGGUGCGGUCGUACGAAACAAAGCAAGAUUAGUUGCUAAGGGGUAUAGUCAACUAGAAGGUGUUGACUAUGAUGAAACUUAUGCCCCCGUAGCCAGUAUGGAAGCAAUAUGCAUUUUCUUAGCGUAUGCGACACACAAAAAUAUGAAAGUACAUCAAAUGGAUGUAAAAAGUGCCUUCCUGAAGGGUGAACUGAAAGAAGAGGUUUACUUACAACAACCUCCAGGCUUCGAAAGUCAAGAUUCCCCAGAUUAUUGUUAUAGGCUUGAGAAAGCAGUCUAUGGUCUUAAGCAAGCAUCAAGGGCAUGGUACGAGACUCUCUCCGAGUUUCUUGUCAUGUCCGGAUACAAAAGAGGUGUGAUUGACCCCACAUUAUUUAGAAAGGCAAAUGGUAAUCACCUUAUGCUUGUCUAAAUCUAUGUGGAUGAUAUCAUAUUUGGGUCAACAGAUCAGGAUAUGGUGGAUGAAUUUGCAAAGCUCAUGACUAACAAGUUCCAAAUGAGCAUGAAUAGAGAGAUCAAUUUCUUUCUAGGACUCCAAGUGAAACAAGUCCCUCAAGGGAUAUUCAUUCAUCAAGAAAAGUAUACCUAUGAAUUGCUGAAGAAAUACGCAAUGGAUAACUAUUCCUCAGCCAAGGUUCCUAUGGCCUUCGGAUAUAAGAUUUCCGCUGAUCCUUCCGAAGAUCAGUGGACCAUAAAACUUAUAGAGGAAUGAUUGGUUCGUUGAUGUACCUCACCGCAAGUAGACCAGAUAUUGUCUUCGCAACAGGCUUGUGUGCCAGGUACCAAGCCGAUCCUAAUGUAUCGCACUUGACUGCAGUUAAGCAAAUCCUCAGAUACUUGAAAGGAAGCAAAGCUCUAGGCCUCUGGUAUCCUGCAUGGAACGACUUCAGCCUUCAAGCCUUCACAGAUGCGGAUCCUGCCGGAUGCAGACUGGAUAGAAAGAAUACUUACGGUGGUUGUCAAUUUCUUGGAGGAAGACUAGUCAGCUGGUCCUCAAGAAAACAAAAUUGUGUUUCUUUGUCCACCGCAGAAGCUGAGUAUGUGGCCGCAGCCAGCUGCUGUUCUCAAGUCUUAUGGAUGAAAACCCAACUGAUAGAUUACAUAUACAUAACGUUGCGGAUACCGAUUUAUUGUGAUUCAGAGAGUGCCAUAGCGAUUUCUUAUAAUCCUAUUCAUCACUCAAAGACGAAACACAUUGAACUCCGGUAUCACUUCAUCAAAGACCACAUUCUCAAAGUUAACAUUGAAUUGAUUUUUGUCAAUACUCAUGAAGAGAUUUCUGAUGUGUUUAUAAAGGAACUUGAUGCAACAAAACUCUAUAGUUUUCUGAAAAUGUUAGGUAUGAUGAAUCCGGACCCGCAAUUCUUCUUGAAUUAAUAGGUACCGCAGACCACUUCUGGUCUCCGUUGCGGUCCUAGAAGUUAUAUAUGUAUCAUACAUAGUUUCAGUAUACUUUGUAUACCGCAACCAUAUAUCAUACUUAUAUUCCUUGGGUCUUUAUUGUUUGUUGUUUAUGAUCUUUUAUCAAGUGUUCCUUUCAGAUCUUGCUACCACAGUAACACUGUCUUCCACCGCAGUCAUCAGAAUCAAUCCACAGUCACAUUAAAUGAUCACUUCAUACAUUCCCUGAACUUUGUGUGCUAUUUAAUGGUCCUCAUUUAAUAAAUAAACUUCUCCAUUAAAUAAAAAUAAAAAAACAUUCUUUUGUAGGAUACAACGUUUCAGUCCCCUGUAAAAUACAUCUUUUUGGUGUCAGACCUAUUUUAGGUUAAAUGACAAAUAAAUCUUUUUUCCAUAAAAGAAAUCUUUUAAUAAAUCCUUCUUUUUCUUAACUUGUCACUUCUCAUAGCCCCCAACUGUCUAAUCCGUUUCAACUUCCUUUUUAUUCAAUGGAUUUUAUACCCUCACCACACGUUCUUCAAACGUGCAGUAUAUAGGGUAAAUCCAGUAAACUUUUAAAAUCUAGGUCUAUAUAAACCCUUUUUCCCUCCCAAGAAAGAUUUAUGCUUUCUAAACCCUCAAUGACGAUCUUUCUCUUCCUCACCUUCUUGCACUCUGUUUGCUGCAAGUUCCUAAAUCUUUUCAAAAUGGUGAAAUCUGACAUCUCAAAGAAGCAAUCCAAGGCGUUUGGGUCCGCAGGACCUAUUGGGUUUGAAUCAACAACCAAAAAUCAAUCCCCAACGAUAACCUCUAGCAAUUUCAGAGCUGUUUUUGAGGAUCAUCCCUCAUACAAUGAAGCUAUUCUUUUGAUGAUCAAGUACCUGUCAUCUCACCCUCUAUUUGGCGCAUUCAAUUCAUUCACUAAUGUUGUUCCUCUGUCCACCCUGCUCAAGUGUGAUUUCUCCACUUUUCACCCCAACAACAACCCUCAAGAAGUUCACUUGACCUUGAUCGAUGAUUCCCUGGUAGUCCUGACCAAAACCAAGUUUCUGGAAGCAAUCAACCUUCGAGUUCUUCCCUCAACUCGAAUUUACUCACCAAGUGCCAAUGAUAUCACCUCAACCCUAUACCAGAUGGGGUAUCAGAAGAAGCUGAAAAGUAUUGGGGAAUUCAAGACAAAUCAACUCCCUACAGUAUGACAAUACGUUUGCCAUUUUGUGAUCUGGAGUCUCUCUGGCAGAACCGGAGGCAUAGACAAUAUGGGACUCCAUCUGUUGGAGAUCCUGUGGAGCAUCUUCAUUGGGAAUGCAGUCAACUAUGGACAAAUUCUCUGGGAUCAUUUUCUAUGGUAUCUUCCCAAGGAGAACCCUAGAUAAGACCCAAAUGAACUCACAUUUGCAUGCUUUUGGUCUCUUUGCAUCUUGUAUCUUCACAAAGAUGCGAAGCUUGACAUGGGUGUGGACACCAAUCUCUUCAUCACAUGCGACUUAAAAAGGUACACUCUUUCAAAAGAUCAAUCAAUAUUUGGACCUCUAAGAAGAUUUCAUGUACACAUCUUGAUAUCUAUUGGACUUGAAACCCAAGAAGUCACUGAUCACAUAGAGGCUACGGAUGGUAUUGACCCAUACCAUUCCUCCCCACCUCAUCCCAUUCAGGCGAUUGUUAUUUCUUCAAAACCCCAUGGUCCCUUAAGUACCACAGUUCCUACUGCAACCGUAGUUCCCACUUCAACCUCAGCCCCUCUUACUGAAGGACCCUAUAAAACAAAAUCUAAGCAUGUCAAGCAAAUUGUCUCUUCUAAGAAGCGCCCCCGCAACAUAGUCAGGAAAUAUGCAAAUCCUUCCAAGAAACGCAAACACAUGAUUGUAGAAUCUCCAACUGACUCCCAUCCUUCUCAAUCCCCAACUCAUGACGAACCAGUAAAUGUUGAUAAAUCCACAAGUGAUGAAUCUGAUGAUCUCUUCAGACGAAAGAAACUAAAGCUUACCCCUAACCAGAGCCAAAUGUGUGACCAGACAAAUACCUUAGUCUCUCAAAAGACUCCGGUGGUCCUUGGAACCCCCGUAGGAUUAUUCACAUCUACCAUCUAUAGUUACUCAGAUGCAUCAAGUGCAUCUGUUUCAAUUGAGCAUGGAGACAACACCCCAAUUGGAUCCCAAGAGGAUCCUAUUGGUACGAAACGCCCUAAGGUCUCCAGGGCAAGUCGCCUUCAUUAUUUUGAGCCAGAGGAGUUGUGCUCCAUCCUUCAUUUUGCAACCCAAACACUUCAAACAGAUAACCAUUUGCAGGGCACCUCUUUUGCCCAUGUCAGAACCGAACGGAGGCCACACUUGACUACGAGUCAAGGAGACCAAGGAAGUUCGGGAAACCAUACUCCGCCACCAUUACACUCAUGUGUUUUAGGCGUGGUGAGCACAAUUGUGCCAGGAUCCAUGAACCCGGGGGACACCCCGGUGCGAACUCAUGGAUUUGAUGGUUAUUUUUCAAACGACUCCUGGACUCGGUAUCAACCAAACACUGAGUCCGAAGUCACGAAGUACGAAGCCUUCCACAGAGCAUUCCAGGCCCAUAAAGAUCAACAAAAAAAACCAACAACAACAAAAGGAACAUGAAUUGCUAACCGUAGCAAAAUAUUGGGCAGAAGCUUUCAGCAACGCCAAGACUGUUCAUGAUCUUUUGCAAAUUCAAGACUGGAUGUCUCGCAUGGAAGCCACGGUGCAAAACACUCAAAAUAUUCAUGAUAUUGGUUCAUCUAAACCUCCCCCCACUACUGAAACACAUGGUUCAAAUGACGACAGAACCGCAAUUGAGAUCAGUUCCGAACCAAUGUUUGGUUUGGAUGAUCUUGAUGUUGACCAAAUAGAUCAGCCUCCUCAUUCAGAUGAUUUCAUAAUGAUCUUUGAUGAAGAAGAAGAUUCAAGUGGCUCUCAACACUCCACCACAAAGCCAAAGAAGAAGAAGAAGAAGAAGAAGAAGAAGAAGAAAUUGGUUGUAUCCCACAAAGAAUUUCUCUCCCUAUAGUCAAAGGUCGAUCAGAUUCUGGCCGCAGUCACAACCCCUCAACCGCAACAAAUUGAAAUUGCUAGGCCGCAGUCCCAAGCAGAGCAGGUUGAACGUCUCGAAACUAGGGAAAGAUUGGCUACUGAAAGAAUCUCCUUAAAGGUGGAAAUGGGCAUUCGAGCCCUCGACAACAACAGAACUGUUGGUCACAAAGAGUUGAUGGCGACUGCUGAACGCCUGAUCCAAGAAAUAUCUACAAUCAAAGUUGAACUCCAAUCUAGAAUUGCGGAUCAAACAGUACAGUCAAAGAAGCUUGUUGAGGAAACUCACAACGCUUAUGAGUCCAUAAUUGCGGUCCUUCAAUCCACAAUCAACAACUUAAGGCACUCUCUAUCUGCAAGCUCCUAUGGUCAAGAGAUACUGAAUCUUACCAAAGAAAUUCAUCAACUUCUCUUCAACACCAAGAUUCCAGAUAAUCAACAACUCAGUGAUAUUAUCAAAUCCCAGUUCAACAAUGUCUUCUCAAAGAUUGAUGGCCUCAGACAAUGGUUUGAGGAGCAACAGGUUGUUACUUCCUCAAAAGCGGGAAGUGAACACUCAAAUCCGCAACACCAUCUAUCUACAGCAGCUGUUCCCAUUCCAAACUUCGGUCCAUCCCACUUUGUUUCAUCACAACCAAGGAUCGAAACUCAACAACUAACUCCACAACACUCACCGCAACACAUCGCUAUGGUUCAAUCUCUUCAGCAAACUCCAAUUGCAACUACAGAUACACAUAAGCUCCCCUCUCCAGUGAAAACUCAUCACUCUCAUCCACCACAUCAAGAACAACAACACUCACCACUUCAAGAAAUCCAUCAAUCCCCACCUCGUCAAGAAACUCCACCACAUUUCAAAAAUCUGGAGCCAACAAUGUCUUCUGAACACUCCAAUGUCUCUCUCACAACCAAACAAUGUAAAGCAGACUGGAAGGCCGCAAAGUUUGCUGAAAAAUCUGGAGAGAUCAUGGCAUUGACACGACAUUGGAUGAAACCCUGAUUAACUCCUGGGUUAAUCCUACAACAAGACUACUUGAUGAAGACUACAGACCAAUCUUUACAUAUGUUGAAUCGCCUACAGAUGGAUAUUGGGAUAUCCCUAUUUCUCCCAACGUUAAAUUCUUCACUGUCUUUGAACCCUUCGACCGCAGUCUUCCCGAUAACCAAAGGCUCCCCCUUGAAUUUGAAUGACUGAGCCGAUUCCACGCCAAGCAUAGAUCUGCCUUCGAAAGCAUAUGGUCUAACGAUAGACACUCCAUAGUCAAGAGUUACAAGAUAAGAAGAUUCAUAAAAACAGAGUUCAUUCAGUACACACUGAAAAGAAGAGGUGACGAUUAUAUCCGAACUCAGGCAAAUUUUCACUGUAUGAAUCCGAAAGAGGUAUUUUUUAUUGCCAGGGUGUUUCAGAUCAAGUCAGAGAAACAUCCCAAGAUGAAAAUUGCAUUUGAAAAGGCUUGUGAGUACCUUAAAUCCACAGUGUGUGACUUCGCCAAGAUUGAUGUGGAUAUUCAUCCAGUCCUUGCUAAAAAAUUCAAUCUUCCUGUACUUGAUCUAGCACCUGCCUUUAUAGAAGGAUGUCAAGAUCGAUCCUUAGGUGCAACCAACUUUCCGGAACUGAGAGUUGUGUUCAAAAGAGCUAACAACAAUGUCAAAUACUUCAUCCCCAUCACUGCUAUGCACCGUCUCACCCACAGAAAGCUAGAAGUCACCUUGACUUCGAUGCAGAGGACGAAACACACAACUGAUGAAGUAAAAUUCAAGAUCACAAGGAGGAUCACUUGGCUAGGUGAAGUAAGAAAAUUCUGGUGGUUGCUGAUCAAGUUUUUGAAACUCAACAAGUGAGAAGGUUGAAGAGGUCACUUAGGGGGAAAAUGUUGAAUCAGAAAGUGACACUCUUAAACCUCUCAAUCUGAUGUCUAUUUCUCUAUCGCAACGGAUCUUUUGCUACCGCAACCUCAAAUGAAGAAGUUAUCUGCAACGACCUCAUCCGUAACACAGACUAGUUAUUUUGUUUCUUAACUUAUAUGUUUACAUUGUAUUAACCAAUGUACCUUGCAUGAACACUUUAUCAGAAAUUUAGUCUUUGUUUAUUCUCCAUGUAAUUUCUCGAGACUCUAUAAAUAGAGAUGUCAACUUUUGAAUGAGAAUACAUCUUAUUUCUCAAUCACAUAUCUCCAUUCUCUUAAUAUCUGAAUUCUUACCUUUUUAUUCUCAAGAUCUUACUGAACUACCUCUCAAAUACAUUAAGAUCAAAAUCUCAUAUCUCUUUCGGAGCAAGUCCUUGUGACUUCACUCACUUUAAGCUGAUCACAUAGAUUAACUUGGUUUGAAUGCAAACCUUGUUAAGAAUCAGCUUAGUGUUUACUUGAUAUAUAACUUGUUGUCAUUUACAUUUUCUUUACAUUUCGUAAUUAUAUUUCCACAACUAACAACUCUAACAAUCCUAACUUCUUAUUAUUGUUGAGCUUAAUGAUCCUUUGAGAUUAACUUCAUUCCGCAACAUAUAACUUGUACUAAUUUUUGUUCAAUAUCUCAAAAGUUUUUCUCUCAACAACCUGCAUAUGAGCUGGAACCAGAACCAGAACCAGAACCUCCUUCCUGAGUGCUCAUCACCAAACUGAAAUACAACAUGCAAAUGAUCAGAACAUACCCAAGAAUCCUCAUUCUACAAGCUUCCUAGAUUCUCCAAGACUCUCUGUAAUUCAAGUAUGGAUCAUAUGCUUUCAGUAGUAUGGGCCCAAUACUACCUUCCACACUUAUCCAUACUUUCCUCAAGAAUCAUCUUGAAUCCUCUAAGUCACCCUCUUAAACUAAUGCACCCUUUGAUCGCUAAACAACAUAACUAACCCGCUGAAGCACUUCCUAGGCUCUCAUAGGUUCCCGACCUCACCUUGCCGUCAACUGCUAAAAGAUUAUCACUGAUGUCAACAAACUGCAUCAUGAAUAUAGUCACAGGCAAUAGAGAUCAGAUAAUCCUUCGAGUAAAAGACUCAACCCUAUAACGGUUGGACUCAAACAAAAGUUGCACAAUAUGGUCAAAUCUAUCACUCUGAUAUUAUUUAACAUGUGCAACAUGUGACUUAGCAUAUUCACUUAGUAGUUGAUCCACAUCACUAAGAGUCCCAUAAAGCACAAAGCAAGCAACAUUCGUACAACAUAAAAUCUAACCAGCAUAUCCCUACUCAAGCCAUUCUAUCCACAAAUUUGAAAAUCACACUAACAUGCAAUUCUUAAAAGCUCAUACAAUCAGGCAUAUAAAGGCAUCUCUCCUAUCAUAGAAUCCUAAGCAGAUCCUUAGCCCUAAUCUAGCAUGCAAUUCUCAUAAUCAUAUCAUAUAUCAUAAUAAACAUGUGUUGGUAUUCUGGGAACCACUUACUUAAGCUCAACCGAUUGCAUGCAUCAUACCCCUUUCUUUGAUUAGAAACCCUUUUAAUAAAACAUUUAUUUUAUGAAAAUUUUCACCAAACCCUCAGUUUGAGUCCAUGCAUACCCGAGAGUAUACCUGAAUCCCUUAAACCAAGGCUCUAAUACCAACCUGUAACAUCCCAAAAUAUGAAGGUAAAAAAUUCAUUUUUAAAACAACCAAAACACUCAUUUAUCAUUUAUCAGACUAUUAUCCCAAAAUCUCAAGGUUGCAGAAAAUAUAGGUGUAUACGUUGUGAUCAAGUCGGGUCCUUCCCUUUCGAAUCGGAAGUACCUGAAACCACAAACAACAACUAUAAGCAAAAGCUUAGUGAGUUCCCAAAAUAUCACAUAACAUGCCACCAUAGAAUACCAUGCUACAUACAUAAGGUUGCCAUGGGCUACCCCCAUGGUCUUUACGUGGAAUACCAUGGACUACCCCCAUGUUCUGAUAUCCAAGUGCCAUGGGCUACCCCCAUGGUCUUCACAAAAGUGCCACGGGCUAUCCCCAGGGUCUUUAGAAAAUUACUUUCAUAACAACUACCAAUCCACAUGUCAGAUAAUGGGUCGACAUUGGUGCCUUCGACUCAUUGGUAUAAUGAGGAAACUCACCUCAAUCCAAGAUAACCAAAUACUCGAACUGCUUCUACCAGAAACCUCGCGCUGACAUUAACAAUUAAGAUCUCAUCAAUAAUUGAUUCCCAUUAAACCAAGAAUUCUACUCCAAUAACCGAUCCUUCAGGGUAAAAGUCCAUUUUACCCUUUUCCUUACUUUCCUAAAAUCCAAAGACCAAACCACUAGCAUCGAAAGCCCAAAACCCUUAAAUGACACCACAAGGCCCAAUAAGGCCCAAAUAUCUAAAUUGGACCCAAACCCAUCAUGGAACUAGCUCGAGAAGGCCCAAAAUCCUAAAAGACCCAAAAUAUCCAAAGGUCAACCCUAGUCAAACUUUUGGUCAAUGGUCCAUAGCCAACAAGUCAACGAAUCAAGAGAAGCUCAUCAGACUGAGUACGCCCCACGUACUCAAUGGGUACGCUUAGCGUACACCCAAGAAAGUCAGUAUUCCCCGCGUACAAGGAGGUACGCCCCGUGUACUAACCCUGCCCACAACCAACCUAGAAAAUCUCUUAAUCCCUUAAGCCAAGAUGUCCAAAGCUUAGAUAUAGUUCCAAAACAUGGCGUAAUCCAUAAAGAUGUUAGCUUUGACUUUUUUCAUGGCUCAAUGGGUCUCAAAUCCAAGUUUUUUACUUUCCAAAUUCAUCAAAAAGAGGCUAAACCACAUGCAUGAGUUGAUAUUAACUAUCAAGAUCACAUUUUUAUGCAUUUGGGACACCUAAAACAUCCAGAUAUAGUGUCCAAACUCUUGGGGCAAGCUCAAACUCACAAAUACAAACCAAAGGGACCGAAACAACCCCAAAAAAAUAUCUAACCAAGGAUAUGCCAAUGUGAGAGCUUUUUACCUUCAAUAGAUGGCAGAGGAUGAGAUACUUUUAGAUCUAUAAGCCCUACUCCAAAAGAUGAUCCUUUAACAACCUUCAACCUCUUCAAAUGCUCAAGAACACUCCAAAAUCACACACAAAAGAUUGAGAACUCCAAUAUGGUGGCUAAGGGUCGAUUAUUAGGGUCUAGGAGGCUUGGAGGUUGAUAAGGGUCAAGACUUAAGAAGAUAAGAUGCUUAAAUAGUGGUAAAACCCUAAAAAUGGGGGUUUAUAGCUGAAGGGAGUACGCCUUGUGUACCCCUUAGAGCGCUUGGCGUACUCAAAGAAGGUUCACGAUCACUUUAGUCUCUAUGCCCAACGUACUUGUUGAGUACGCCCCGCGUACUCGACCAAGCUCUAAUUCUUAUGAUCUUCAAUUGGCUAUAACUCCUUCGUCUUAAGUCUGUUUCCAACGAACUUUAUAUCCACGGAAAGGUAACGUGAAGCCCUACACUUCUAUCAACUCAUCUUCGCCUAAUAACUUCCUGAAUAAAAACCCAAAAUUCAUAAAGAACCGAGUUAUCAAAUUACGAUUACACCUUUAGGCUCCGAAACACAAACUGACACUCAGAUCACUUAAUCUAUAACCCCCCCUCAAUCCAAAAAGGGCCAAAACUCUCCUUCCCAAGGCCCUAACCCUUAUGAUAAUUGGGCCACAACCCUGAAUAAUGAAACGUGUAGCACCUGGUUUCCGGUAUGUGAAUUUUAUUUGAGCAUUGCCCUAAUUUAGCCUUAGACUCGGCGAGUCAUAGGGUCCGACUCGCCGAGUAGGGACGAGACUCAGGACGCGUUUUAAGUAGGCGACUCGACGAGUCCAUAUCCUGGACUCGGCGAGUCACCGCUGCGGGAUGAAACCCUAAGUUUCAAGGGUUUGCACCCUAUUUAAACUCUCAUUCCGCCCCAACUCGUCCCCAUUCACCCCCAGAACUCCCCCUACAUCGUUUUCCCUUGUUUUCUUGAGAGUUUGAGGUGUUCUUGGUGUGUUCUUGAAGGUUUUGAAGAGUAAGAGGAGUAGAUCAAGAAGAGGAGAAGGAGAUCAGCCAUCCUUGUGUCAUUUCAACAUUUCCUUUGAGGUAUAACCCGUUUUCCCCUUGAUUCUAUGCUUAAAACUUCAUUUGGGUCCUUCUUGGUCAAUUCCCCAAGUUUGCAUGUUCAUUAUAUGUUGUAAUAAGGCGUUUGGCCUUUGGAUCUAUGUAAGAUUGAGCUCCAGGAGCUCAGAUCUGUUAGCUUUUUGGCCUCAUGAGGCUUGUUAGCCCUAGAUCUACCAUUUUGAGACAUUUUGAGCCUUAUAAUCCAUAUUGGUGAAUAUCCACACGUAAAGUUGGAAACUUUACGUGUGAUUCGUGUCCUAGAAGUCCAGAUCUAUGAAUGGCAUGGUCUGGAACCGAGCAAAUCGGUAUAUUUAAGGAGUGCAUGGCGACGACUCGGCGAGUCGCAUAGGUGACUCGGCGAGUCUGGUCGCGAGUCACCGAAUUGGUCCCUUCUUCAUGUGUCGAGUUGAGCCUUGAGUCACAGGGGGUGACUCGGUGAGUUGGGAGCUGAACUCACCCAUGUUAGGACUCGGCGAGUCAAUGCCCUGACUCGGCGAGUCCAAGGCAAUCUUCAUAGCUCAAGAACAGACUCGGCGAGUUGUUCAUACAACUCGGCGAGUCUUAGCAUAAAGUGUUCAUCGGAUGAAGAUGAACUCGACGAGUUGUUCAUACAACUCGGCGAGUAGGAUGAAGGUGUUGAAUGGCAGUUAGAAGGUGAACUCGUCGAGUCAUAGCCCGACUCGACGAGUAGAACCAGGGACCCAGGACAUUGGUUUGCUAGGGACUCGGCGAGUGGUGAUCCACUCGGCGAGUCGGGUCAACUGAAAGUUGACUCCAGCUUUGGCUUAGAGUUAAUCCAGGGGUAAAAUGGUCAUUUUACCUAAAGGACAGUUAGCAGUGUUUGAUUGAGUAUGUCGUGGAAAUUGCAGCCGGAGGACUCCCGGAGCAGCAGCAGUCAGUUAGUUCCCGAUCAGUUCAGCAGCUACUUUGAGGUGAGUUACCUUCCAGUAGCGGUGGGUCUAAGGCCACAAUGCCGACCCACCAGUAGGAGUUGUAUGAUAGAUGAUUGUCUUUGUGAUAUCAUCUAAGUUCGCUAGUACCUGACAUGUUAUAUGCUAGCAUGAUAUGCUGUAUGUGAUAGUAUUAGAGUUUGGUUGUUCGGACCGAAGGGUAGUCAGACACCCCAGAUACGUCUGACAGUAUGUGACGAUAUGUAUGCAUGCUGACUUGUUAUGUUAUAUGUGAUCGUAGUAGUAGGGGUGAAAUAGUCCCCGAGGAUCGGUUGUUAGGACCGAUGGGUAGUCAGCACCCCAGAAUGGCUUGACACGGGUAAGACGGCACCCCAGAAUGGCCGUAUGGGUAGGUCGGCACCCCAGAAUGGCUUGACACGGGUAGGUCGGCACCCCAGAAUGGCCGUACCGGGUAGUCAGGCACCCCAGAAUAGCCUGGCAGUAUAUAUGUUAUGUGUUUGUAUGGUAUGCGGUACGUUGGGGGAACUCACUAAGCUUUGUGCUUACGUUUACAGUUUUGUUUUCAGGUACCUCUGCAUCGAAGGGGAAGGAGCCGGCGCGGUAGCGGCACGUCAUACACACACUCUUCGGUUUCCGCAUUUAUGAGAUUUACUGGGAUUGUACUCUGAUAUUUUGAUGGGAUGUACGGUUUGGCUUUUGAGAACAUGGUUGCAAUGUGUUAUGGUGUGAACAAACAAUGUUUCUUUUUAUUUAGACAAUGUUUUUAUUUAUUAAUGUUUUCUAAAGUAAUAUCAAAAAAAAAAAAAAAUGGGGGGUUNCAAAAAAAAAAAAAAGUUGGGUCGUUACAAAACGAUUCGAAACCGAGCGUUACACGAAGUAAGAAAAUAUGCCUAAAUCAAAAGGCAAAUCAAUAAAAAAAUUACAAAGUUUAUAAAGAUACACCUGAAUAUGUUGGCUACCACUGGCCUCAUACUUUAUUUUCUUCUUGUUCCUCCCCAUGUAUAUGUAAUCUAUCCCUUACUAUUAGAACCUAAAAAUUCACAGCUCUAAAGGCAAGAUGGGGUUUUGCUUAACAGAUUUUAAGAAACCUGGCCAUUCGAUUGUAACGCACAAUUUUGGGUAUGAAUUUCAAUUGUUUAAUUUUGGGAAAUUUGGGUGGCCACGACGUGGUGAGGGGAUCAGCAUGACAUGGCAAUCCUGCAUCAAAUGUGUGUUUCAUUUAGACAGCAUGACGUGAUCAUGCAAUGGUCAUGAAGUGGUGACGAUAGAUGUGCAAAACCUUUAUCUUCGGGCUCAAGACCCUAUUUAAAGGAAGUGAUGACUAGGGUUUCCUCCAACCCCAGCCUCCAUCACCUCCAAAAGUGUUCUUGAUCAAACCGUAUCCUCUUUGCAAGCUUUGAGCUCAUUUUGGUGUUUUGGUGCACUGUGAAGAGGAAGAAAAAGAGUUUAGUGUAAGGAUCAAGAAAGAAACUCCCCCUUAUCUUUGGGAUCACUAUCUUGACCAUUUGUAAGACUUCAAGACUUGAUCUUUUUGGUCCCUUCUUAGUAGAUCUAGGGUUAUUUACAUAUUUGAGUUCAUAGUUAUGAAUCGAAUGGUUCAAUAAGAUAAAGUUUGCAACUUUAUGACUCACCAAGGCCCCUUGAGCAUUAUACCUUAUGGAUCUAGAAGUUGGUUGAUUUUGUAGAGUCAUACUUAUGGUUUAGGUCAUAUUUCUCAUAUUAUAACCUAGUUGGAUGAAGGACAUGCAUGGGUUAUGCAUGUCCAUAAAGUUUGGGUUUUUAUGGACCAUAAGGGUGCUAAUAAGUUUCCUGAAUAGUGAGAGAUGAAGACUUAAUGGGUUAAGAGAUUAAUCCCUUAAGUUGUCUUUGUGUAGUUGCUACGACGUGGAGACUUGCUUGUUGCGAUGUGGUGGUUGGUCUGGUCGCAACUAUUUUGUCAUGAAGCUUCCACGACAUAACCAAUGCGUGGCGACGACGUGGAGGUCAACUAGCAUUGACUUUGACUGUUGACUUUUUGACAUGGUUGAUUUUUAGUCAUAUUGUUAUUUUUAGAAAGUAGACUAAAGUUUUACCUUUUAUUAUUCAUUAGGAGGUAUGUAGCACCCACUUUUCGACUGUGUGAGCUCGUUAGCUGUCGACUACAUUUUUUCAGUGAGUUUUAUCACUAUAUUAUAUAGGAUGCUAGUUGUCUUAGUGAAUCUUACAUGUAUGUUGGGUGGGGACAGUUUUGUAAGCUGCGCGGGACCCCUUUAAAUGUUUAGUGGGGCCCGUUAUAUGAAUUGGGCGGGCCGGUUAUGCAUAUUUGGUGGGGUCCGGUACGAGAGCUGGGCGGGGGUCGUUAAGCUAAUUGGGUGAGGGUUAUUAUGUUUGUGGGUGGGGCCCAUAUGGUUAUUGGAUUAGGAGUCUAAGCCCAUAAGUAUAAUUGGUAUGUACUUGAAUUGAUAGUAGCAUGUCCUUUUGGGUUGCCUUCAAACCUGGCAAUCGAAUAGGAUAACUGUUGGAGAGAGAAGAAUGGUUUAUUAAUUUAUUACUAGGUUAAUAAAUUAAUUUGAAAUCAAGAUAAAUGAUUUAUAAAUGUAUUAUGGAUAUAAUAUAUUAAAUAGAAAUCAUAUUGUUUAAUUAAUAUUUAAUCAGAAAUUAUUUUGGAAUUAAUUAUGGGAUUAAAAGAAUUAGUUGAAACUGCAGGAACUAAAGGUGACAAUGUUCAAAUGUUGAGCAUUGAAGCAUUCUAGAAUCUCCCUUAGAGGUAGGGAACUAAAUCUAGAGUGUCUUAGGGUUUCCUUGGGCUCUAAGGCUGCCUUGGAAGGCUUAGGGAGGAUGUUAAGGGAUUAGGGUUAUCUAAGAUACACCUGCCUUAUCUUAAACCUUCCUUAUAACCUAUAUAAACCCCUAUAAGGUUGGAUUUCGUCCUGUGAACUCCAAGAAAGGGUUAGAGCCUAAUUUUUCACUUCCCUUCUCUCUCUCUCUCUCUCCAUAGUAAUCCUUGGUUGCUAGGUUUGUUUGUGAGCCAUUAAAAGCGCGACACUUGUGGCGCUUGCUACCAACGUUCAAGAUCUUCAAGGAUUUUAUUGUUAUUAAAAUAUAACAAUAAAUGUAUGUAUCCUAACCCUAAUUAUAUGUUAAUUUCAAAAAUUACAUGUGCCUCCUAGGGUUUCUAUUUUUUGUGCUCAAUGCUUGUAUGUCAAAUAGUGAAAACAUAGAUCCUCAAAUUAGGGUUGCAUGCAUACAUAGGAUUGUUUGCUAUGUGUAAAACCUAUCAGUGGUAUCAGAGCUUUUGGUUGUUGAUUUUAGUUAGAUUUGAUACAAAAGUAUGAAUUUGACAAAUUAGGGUUUAUGGCAAAUACACCCUAGGGAUUGGAUUUUCGAAAUUAGGGUUUCAAAACCCUAGUUUUCGAAAUUUGUUAGGGUUUUGUGAACCCUUUCCUUUGGCCUCAUAUUUUCGUUUUUUAGGGUUGGUUAACCCUAGGGUUUUCGAAAAUAACUACCUUCCCAUGAUUAGAUUUCAAAAUUUUAGGAUUAGGAUAAUCUUUGGUAAUUAUCUUGUUAAUUGUUUAAGUAGAUAAUUAAAGAUUUUGUAUUAUCCCUUCCCAAAUUUUCGAAAUCUAGGGGAUAAAGGGAUUAGGUUAAAUUAAUUGUUUAAUUUAAUGGAUAACCCAUUAAGAUUUAAUAAUUUAAAUUAAUUGUUUAUGUUUGGAUAAUUAUUAAAUCAAGGUUUUUAAUAUUUAAGAUUUUAAAAUUAAAAGGUAUUAAUUUUCGAAAAUUUUAAAGUAUUAAUUAAAAACCAUAGUAUUUUGAAAUGUUUAAAAUACACUCUUAUACUAUUAUAAUAUUAAAAGCUUAAUGCUUAUAUAUGUAUAAGACGAGUCAGUCUUACCGUUAGUAGGCGUCAUUCACGAAGCCAGUCUAUAAGGGAGGGUAUAAGGUUACUGCCUAUAAAUGUUGGAUAAGGUGUCUAAGUCCAUAACUAUUUCUGGUAUGUACUUGACCCGACCCGGCAUGGUCCAUUUGGGUUGCAUGGCACCAUGCAAUUGGAUAGACUAAAUGAGAGAAAUAACACUUGGAGAUUAUUAAUAUAUUAUAAGUUCUAAUAUAUUAAUAAUAUUAUUUGAUUAGUUUGAUCAAUAAUUAAUUUAGAAUUAAUUAAGUGGUCAAAAGAGAACUAAUUAAAUAUAUGGGUUGAUUAUGUAAAUCAUCCACAUCUUGUAUAGUGGGCUAAUAGGCUCCAUGGAUUAUCAAGUUGGGUUCUACCCAUAGGAUGCUCCAUGGGAGUUACAAACCCAUGGGUCAUGGAAAUGAAGAGUCAUGACACAUUAGGGUUUACAUGGUGUAACCCUAGAUGUGUCAACACUAUAUAAGAAUCAUAUUCUCCACCAAAAUCGGCUACACUAAGAAAACAAGAGGGCUUGGCCGAUUUCAAGAAGUGUGUGUUCUCUCAUAAGUUUUUCCAAGAGCAUUUGGUGUUGUGUGAAGCAUUUGAGGCAUCACAUUUGGGGUGCUAGGCUCACAAGGUUUCAAGGAACACAAGCAACAACAAGGUAAGUUAUUCUAUCUAUUAUUCAAGUUAAAAUUGUUCCCCAUGUAUGCUAGAUAGGAAUAUAACCUUGGAAUUCAACUUUGCAUGAUAAUUAGACAAACAUAGAUCCAAGGUUAUUAGGGUUGCAUGUACACUUAGGAAGUGUUAGAAUGCUCAAAACCCAUCAGUGGUAUCAGAGCCUAGGCUUGUUUGUUUGUUAUUUGUGCUUAAAAGUUGAAGAAAGUCGAAAAUCUUGCUGUCUGACUGAUGGACUCGGCGAGUCCAUGGGGAGGACUCGACGAGUUCAUGUGUAUCUUCAACCUACUCGGCGAGUAGGUUUAUGCACUCGGCGAGUAGGGUCGACAGAGUGCAGAAUUUCGACUUGUGUUGCUGGAAAUGGAUUAGAAUCAUUACCCUAAAAUGUUUUGGUACUUGAAAACUUAUUUUAGAAGGUGUAAUGUCUUUUCUAACUCAUUUACAACAACUAGUUAUCAAAAUUACAAAGAUUAAAUGUGAUUUUGAUUCUUGAAAGUGUUCAUAUUCAUAUUCUUGUUCUUAUGAUGUUUAGAUGAUCAUAGGAAUUAUUUGUAACCUAUGUGGUAGAUUAAUUCAUGAUCAUAAUGUGUUUUAAUGGAGUCCAUAACUUGUCCUCAAGUUAUGGAAAACCAAAAGUCUCUUGGAUUAAAAAACAUUAAAAGAACACAAGAGUUAGGAAAAAUGAAAAGUCCUCAUUUUAUUACUCUAUUAAACUCAUAAGUUACAAGAAAUGAAAAGUUUUGAAAGUUUACAAAACUUGCCCUCAAGUUUUGGAACAAGUAAAGUUAAGUUAAAACUUUAGUUCCAACCCCUAGAAUUUUAAAAGUUAAAAUUCAACCCUUAUACUUAUAUUAUUAUGAUUUAAUAAUUAUAUAUAUAUGUAUAAGAACAAAGUCGUCUUACCGCUAGUACGCCUCAUUCACGAAGCCGGUCUAUAAGGUGGGUAUAAGGUUGUUGCCUAUAAAAUGGUGACUUAAUGGGUGUCCACUCUCACCCACCGCUUGCUUGAUCGGUGGAGGGUCGUUAGCCGAACGGGUAAGACAAGGACUUAUUAAUUCUCAUUCAAAGUAUGAUGAAUAUUAUAAAGUAACUAAAUGUUUUAUUAAAUUCCCAAUCUUAGUUACUUUAGGAAAAAUGUGAAUAAGGUGCUAUUCCAUGAAAUUACACUUUACACUUUGAUUAAGUCGUUGGUGGAGCGUGUGUGGUUAACCGGCACACUAACUUGGACUUAACAAGGUAGGUAAAGGGUGACUUAGGGUUUAUUAUAGUAUCGAUGGAGCGUGUGUGGUUAACCGGCACAUCGAUUGAGUGAUAAACUUUAAGGGUACCAAGUGAUUUGCAUGGUUACUUCACACCUCGUUUUGUGAUCCUCGGUAUCCCAGUCACAAAACUUGGAGGGCACACUCGAGAUUGAAACAUGCCUUUGAAAAGUUCAUUGAAUCUCAAAGAAUCUAGGAAUUUCUAAGAACCAUUCAAAAACCUAAUACUAAAAUAUUGCGGUUUUCGUGGUGGAAAUUGGUGAAUCGUCAUUCACCUACCUUUCAAAUAUGAUAUAGCUUAGAUUACGGCAUACCUCUUCUAAGUUAUAUUAUAUUGUGAUUGGAUCCUAGCCUUAAUAUUACAUUUGGGUGUUUUAUUAAGGACUCUCUUAUAUCUAAACUAAUCUUGUCCUCUUUCCUUCAGAUGUCUUUCAACAAUGCUUCUGGCUCUAAUCCUAAUGGCUCCUUUACCCUUAUGAACUUGUGUGGGAAAGUCACCUUUGAUGGAUCCAACUUCAAUGAGUGGAUCAGAAACAUCAGGAUGAUUACCCGCUACGAGGACAAAGAAUAUGUCCUUGACAAGGAGCUUAAGGAGAUUGAUGAGUCCACUGCAACUCCUCAGGAGAUCGCUGAAUUUCGGGCACAUGAAAGGGAUGCUACGAAAGUGGCUUGCAUCAUGAUGGCCACGAUGACAGCGGAACUCCAAAAGUCUUAUGAGGAUUUCUACCCUUAUGAAAUGCACCAAGAUUUGAUGGAAAGAUACCAUCAAAGUGCAAGACAAGAGAGGUAUGAAAUCAUCUGCUCCAUGAUAACAACCAUGAUGAAGGACGGGGAAUCCGUCACGAGCCACAUGCAGAAAAUGCAAAGGUAUGUGGAUCGUUUGCUGAAGCUUAAUGUGAACUUCCCGGAGGAUCUUGCAAUAGAUAUUAUUUUGCAUUCCUUACCAUCGUGCUAUGAUCAAUUCCGCAUGACAUAUCACAUGAACAAGGAAGAAGUCACCCUCAGCAAACUUCAGGGACUUCUCAAGACCGCAGAAUCAGGUCUUAAGGGGAAGUCGGUUGCUAUCACUCCUACUCAAAACUCUACUCCGGUUUUGGCAAUCGGGAAAAGUCGAGGGAGGAAGAGAAAGAGCUCUUCUAAGGGUACCAAGGUUCGGACCCUUGAUGGCUCUUCUUCAAGUGGAACCAAGAAAGGUUUCAUUACUCCUUCUUCUGACCCAAAAGAGGCUGAAUGCUUCUAUUGCCAUGAAAAAGCUCAUUGGAAGCGGAACUGCCCAAAAUACCAGCAAGAUGUGAAGGAUGGGAAAGUUAAACCCAACCAUGCAGGUAUUUACACUAUCAUUUCUAAUAACUCACCCCAUUCUAAUUCUUGGGUCCUUGAUACCGGGUGUGGUAUUCACAUUUGUUGUGACUUGCAGGGACUAAGAAGAAGUGAGGAUGUGGAGCAAGGAAGGAUAAACUUGAUCAUGGGGAAUAGGAAAGCUAUACCUGUUACCAAGAUUGGAGUUUAUACUUUAUCGCUAAGUAGUGGGUUUAGUUUAGAUUUGAAUAAGUGUUGUUAUUCGCCAGGAAUGGCAAGAAAUAUUAUUUCCUUUCAUGCUUUGUACAAACAAGGGUUUACCUUUUCAUUUAAUAAUGAAGUUGGUUCUAUAGAUGUUUUCUAUAAUAAUGUCUUUUAUUUUAAAGCAUUACCUUGUGAUGGUGUGUAUGAAGCUGUAUCUGUUGUAGAUAACUUGGGAAAUAAUGUUUUGUGUAUUGAUUCUACUAAUAAUAACUUGGAUAAAGCAUCUUUAUGGCAUUGUCGUCUUGGACAUAUAAGCAAGAAACGCAUAGGCCAACUCCAAAAGGAUGGAGUCUUGGAGUCGUUUGACCUAAAGUCAGAUGAUAGUUGCGAAUCAUGCUUACUUGGAAAAAUGACAAAGUCACCCUUCACAGGUUCGUGUGAGAGGGGUGAAGGUUUGUUGGACCUUAUACACACGGAUGUGUGUGGACCAUUCAAACAUGCCACAAGGGAUGCUAAUCGUUAUUAUUUGACUUUUACUGAUGAUUAUAGUAGAUAUGGAUAUGUCUACUUGAUCAAGCAUAAGUCAGAGACUUUCGAGAGGUUUAAGGAAUUUAAACAGGAAGUCGAGAAUCAAUUGGGCAGGAACAUUAAGAUGCUUCGAUCCGAUCGUGGUGGUGAGUAUCUUAGUUCAGAGUUCCUCGACUAUCUAAGGGAAUGUGGGAUAGUCUCACAAUUGACACCUCCCAGGACACCACAGUUGAAUGGUGUGGCUGAGAGGCGUAAUCGAACCUUGUUAGAUAUGGUUCGUUCCAUGAUGAGUCGAGCUACGCUACCAAUCUCAUUCUGGGGGUAUGCCUUAGAGACUGCCGCCCAUAUUCUUAAUCUAGUCCCUACAAAGAAAGUUGCCAAAACUCCUCACGAGAUGUGGACUGGUAAAGUACCUAAACUAGACCACAUCAAGAUUUGGGGUUGCGAGGCUUUCGUGAGACGCGAGACUCAUGAUAAGCUCGAACCUCGAAGCGAGAGGUGUAUUUUCAUCGGUUACCCACAGCGAUCCUUUGGUUACCUCUUCUACAGACCUAGUGACAAUGUGGUCUUUGUAGCAAGAAGAGGAGUCUUUCGAGAAAGAGAGUUUAUAAGCCAAGGAGACAGUGGGAGGCAAAUUGAUCUUGAAGAAAUUCAAGAAUCAAGCGGUGAAGGAACUUCAAACUCUAGCCCUCAACUUGAGGAGGAAACUCCUGUUGAGCCAAUUGACAAAUCUGUACCUCUGAGACGUUCCACGAGAGUUAGGAGUGCACCUGAGCAUUACUAUGGAUUCCAUAUUACUGCAGAAGGUGAGACACUUAUUAGUGAUGAGACACUAGUAAGUCAAGAUGACCCUAACAGCUACGAGGAAGCCAUGGCAGGCCCCGAGUCUGCUAAAUGGAAAGAGGCUAUGGAUAGCGAGAUACAAUCCAUGUAUGACAAUCAAGUUUGGAACUUGGUUGAAAAUGUACCAGGUCGUAAGACAGUAGGGUGCAAAUGGGUCUUCAAGAAGAAGACCGACAUGGAUGGUAAAGUACACACUUAUAAGGCUAGACUGGUUGCAAAGGGCUUCUCUCAAAUUCCUGGAGUGGAUUAUGAUGAGACCUUUUCUCCGGUAGCCAAGAUUAAGUCUAUUCGGGUUCUGUUAGCCAUAGCUGCAUUUCAUGACUAUGAAAUAUGGCAGAUGGAUGUCAAAACCGCUUUCCUUAAUGGAAAGUUGGCUGAAGAUGUUUACAUGAGUCAGCCAGAGGGUUUUGUCAGCAACGAGUACCCUAAUAGAGUGUGUAAGCUUGAGAAAUCCAUUUAUGGAUUGAAGCAAGCACCUCGCAGAUGGAAUCUUUGCUUUGAUGAAAAGGUCAAGGAAUUUGGCUUUUCUAGGAGUGAAGAUGAAUCUUGUGUGUAUGUCAAGGCUAGUGGGAGUAUAGUUAGCUUUUUGGUAUUGUAUGUGGAUGACAUACUACUCAUAGGAAACGACAUUCCAACCCUGCAGGAAGUAAAGUCCUGGCUUGGGAAGUGUUUCGCUAUGAAGGACCUUGGUGAAGCUGCCUAUAUUCUAGGGAUAAGAAUCUUGAGAGAUCGGAGUAAAAGACUAAUUGGACUUAGUCAGAGUACCUACUUGGAUAAGGUGCUGAAGAGAUUCAGCAUGCAGGAUUCCAAGAAAGGAGAGUUACCCAUCCAGAGUAACACCAGAUUGAGUAAGACACAAAGCCCUAGCACUGAGGCUGAGAUAGCAGAAAUGAGUCGAACACCUUACGCUUCGGCUGUAGGAUCGAUCAUGUAUGCUAUGACGUGUACUCGACCCGAUGUAGCUUUUGCCUUGAGCAUGGUUAGCAGGUAUCAGGCGAACCCUGGCAAGGCACACUGGACUGCGGUAAAGAAUAUCCUCAAGUACCUACGGAGGACUAAGGACUGGGUCCUUACCCUCGGUGGGAGUGAUGACUUGAGAGUUGUAGGGUAUAGUGAUGCUAGCUUCCAGACUGAUAGGGAUAAUUUCCGCUCUCAGUCGGGCUGGGUCUUUACCCUAAACGGAGGAGCAAUUUCUUGGAAGAGUUCCAAGCAAGAGACAGUGGCAGAUUCUACUUGUGAAUCAGAGUAUAUUGCAGCUAGCGAAGCAGCAAAGGAGGCGAUAUGGCUGAAGAACUUCAUUGGAGACCUUGGAGUUGUACCAGCUAUUAAAGAGCCAAUGGAAAUUUUCUGUGAUAGUGAAAGUGCUGUUGCCUUAGCCAAGGAACCAAGGGAUCAUGGGAGAUCCAGACACAUCGACAGAAAAUACCAUUUCAUUAGACAUCGGAUCGAAGAAGGACUCCUCGUGGCAAAGAGGGUAUCAUCGGAUGAGAACCCAGCAGAUCCCCUCACGAAGGGACUGAGUAGGGUUAAGCAUCUCCAGCAUGCUCGGAGCAUAGGGCUGAAGGAUGAUAUAAGUUUUAGUAGUUAGAUAACCCAGAAAUUUGUAAAGUGUAAUUGACAUUUGAUGAUGAAUAAAAGGUGUUUUAUUUAUGAGUAAAGUGUUGCUAUCUCUUGUCAAUCGUUUACUAUAUUUCUUUUGCAUGUUUUGACUUCCAGAAUAAUUUUGUUUGGUGUAACAUAUUAUUCAAACCUCCACAGUCGGUCAUAUGUCGGAAGUAGGUAUGAAUCAAGACUGUCAUGAUGGGUUGUAGAGGUCUAAGGUGUUGGACAAGGCUACAACAAUCAUGAGUGCUCAUAAGUUCUGAGCAUUGGACUCAACCCACGCUCACUGGAAUCACUUCAUGGAAUUCUAUCUCGAGUGAUCGUGAGACGGUAAUAUCAUAUAAGUCUUCAAACCUAGAGAUAUGAUUUGUUACUUACAAGUUGGUUAUGCAUUGACUGUACGAAACCGCAUUGGUAACUCGAUGUUAUAAAACGUACUUUUGUGUGUAAUUCAAUGAGUGGUAGAACAAACAUAUGAGUCGAAGUUUAUCUGUUCCUUCUUGGAUUAGAAGCUGAUAUCUGGGCCCCUCGAUGAUUUUGUUUUGACCCAUGUACCGGGCCCGGUCAGAACUAAGUUGAUGUGUUCAAUUAAGUUCUAUGUCAAACAAAUCGGAAAUCGGGAAACAAAUGCUGGACAAUAAGCAAGACAAUGUUCCAUGUAUUUGUCCGGCUGAUAUCUAGAACGGAGGAUUAUAUGAUCACUUAUCUUAAAUGGCGUACCAUCAUCUUCUCAGUUCCGAGAGACCUUGAAAGAGCUACGAUUGCCGGUCGGUUCCUGAAGUACUAGAGAUAUAGUUAUUAGACUUAUCCAAGUGGGAGACUGUUGGAUAAGGUGUCUAAGUCCAUAACUAUUUCGGGCUUGUACUUGACCCGACCCGGCAUGGUCCAUUUGGGUUGCAUGGCACCAUGCAAUUGGAUAGACUAAAUGAGAGAAAUAACACUUGGAGAUUAUUAAUAUAUUAUAAGUUCUAAUAUAUUAAUAAUAUUAUUUGAUUAGUUGAUCAAAGAAUUAAUUUGGAAUUAAUUAAGUGAUCAAAGGAUAACUAAUUAAAUAUAUGGGUUGAUUAUGUAAAUCAUCCAUAUCUUGUAUAGUGGGCUAAGAGGCUCCAUGGAUUAUCAAGUUGGGUUCUACCCAUAGGAUGCUCCAUGGAUGCUCCAUGGGAGUUACAAACCCAUGGGUCAUGGAAAUGAAGAGUCAUGACACAUUAGGGUUUACAUGGUGUAACCCUAGAUGUGUCAACACUAUAUAAGGAUCCCAUUCUCCACAAAAUUGGCUACACAAUAUACACUAAGAAAACAAGAGGGCUUGGCCGAUUUCAAGAAGUGUGUGUUCUCUCAUAAGUUUUUCCAAGAGCAUUUGGUGUUGUGUGAAGCAUUUGAGGCAUCACAUUUGGGGUGCUAGGCUCACAAGGUUUCAAGGAACACAAGCAACAACAAGGUAAGUUAUUCUAUCUAUUAUUCAAGUUAAAAUUGUUCCCCAUGUAUGCUAGAUAGGAAUAUAGCCUUGGAAUUCAACUUAGCAUGAUAAUUAGACAAACAUAGAUCCAAGGUUAUUAGGGUUGCAUGUACACUUAGGAAGUGUUAGAAUGCUCAAAACCCAUCAAUAAAAUGGUGGUUUAAUGGGUGUCCACUCUCACCCACCGCUUCCUUGAUUGGUGGAGGGUCGUUAGCCGAACGAGUAGGAUAGGACAAUUAAUUCCUCAUUAAAGUAUAAUGAUUAUAUAAAGUAACUACUUUUUUUUAAUUCCCAAUAUUAGUUACUUUAGGAAAAAUGUGAAUUUGGUGCUAAUCCAUGAAAUUGCACAUUGCACCUUAUUGGUCGUUAGUGGAGCGUGUGUGGUUAAUCGGCACACUAAUAUGGGACCAAUGAAGGAUGACAAUGGGUAGCUCGUACAUUAUCAUAGAUCAAUGGAGCGUGUGUGGUUAACCGGCACAUUGAUUAGGUGAUACACAUCCUCAACAGUACCAAGCUAAUUUUCAUGGUUAUUCACACCUUGUUUGUGAUCCUCGGCAUCCCAGUCACAAACUUGAAGGGCAUAAUCAAGAUUAAACAUGCCAUUGAAAAGUUCAAUGAAUCUCAAAAGAUCUAGGAGUUUCAAUUCAUUUAAAACCUAAUUUCCUUUUUUUUGUUUUUCAUGGUGGAAAUUGGUAAAUCGUCAUUUACCUACCUUCAAAUAUUCUGCAACUGGAUUACGGCAUCCCUAUUCCGAGUUGUAGAAUAUUGUGUUGGGUCCUAGCCUUGAUAUUUCAUUUGGGUGUUAUAUUAAGGACUCUUAUCAACUAGCUUGAACUUCUCCCUUUUGUAGAUGUCUAAAUCUAUCAAUCAUGGUCUUCCUGAAUCCUUUGGAAAAAGCUUU
rnacentral:lncRNA from 1 species